rnacentral:lncRNA from 1 species
GUCCUUAAUUUAAUCAUUAGAUAAAUAAUUUUUUAAAAAUUAAAAAUUUUGAUUCUUCGGCACUUCAAAUACUCUAUAUUAAUUUUAAUGAUUCCAAUCGUCAUUUCAAAAUUUUUAUUCUAAAAAUAACUUGAUAGAACGGAAACUUUUGUCCUUUUAAAAUGCUAGUAACUAUAUUAUAUUAUACUCUCUCUCUCUCUCUCUUGUUAGGAUUUGAUUAGAUUUGUAAUUAAAUGUUAUUUAGAUAAGAAUUAAUAUUUAAAUCUGUUGGAGAUAAAUUAAGAUUUAAAUAUUAAUUAGAGGAUAAACCUGACUAGAUUAUGAUUAAUAUUUAAAUCUAUUAGAGAUUAAUUAAGGUAGAUUUAGAUAUUAAUUAAAGUCGGAAUUCUAAUUAUAUUAGGAUUGAGGUACGUUUUGGUGAAGUUUUAUAAAUAGCUCUUGAUCGGUUUGUUUUUGAGGAAAGUAUGGCUGAAGCUUGGGUGCCGUACCAGAGAGAGAGAGAGAAAGAGAGAGAGAGUUAUUUACUGCAUCUUGUGCACGGGUGCACGUGGAAAUAUUGUCUUCUUUGGGUGUUAUAGAAGACGAGAGAAAAGGGUAGAAGAGAUUUAGAAAGAGAACUCGGAUUGUAGCUACUCUGUGUACAGAAGAGUUAGGUGUAAUCUUCUCUUAUUUAAUGAAUCUUAUUUUAUUCGUAUAUUUUCUGUUUUGAUUUUUUCUCUCUUUUGUGAUUGUAUCAGUUUUUACUGAGGAGACGGGUUUAUGGUAAAAAUCCGAUUCGAUGUUUCCGUUGCGGAAUCUCAACAAUCGGUACCGAAUCCACAGCGGUCGGUAUGGGAGCAGGUUGCAGAUUCAUAAGAUUCAGUACCGGGGCGAGCAUCGGAUUCCCAACAUCUCUCUCUCUCUCUCUCUAUAUAUAUAUAUAUAAGAGCCUGAAAAUACUUCUCUCCCUCUCUCUCUCUCUCUCUCUCUCUCUAAGCAUGAGAUGCAGGGGAUGAAAGAUAAUUGGAGCAAACAUCUUCGAUUUCCUCUGUAAUUAUCAUAUCAUGAUGCACAGUUGGAAGCUUAGAUAGUUUCGCUUACUACUAAUAUAAUUUUGUAGCCUUCACAAUUUGAGUUCCGUUUGUGGGAGAAUGCACUGACAAAAUAAAAUAGAAGUCAUAGUCAGAGUCGUUCAUCACGCUUUAAAUGAAAAGAAUAGCAAAUCACAAUGAAAAUUACACGAUCGACUAUUAAGCCUUCAUCAACUGUAUUUGCCAGUUGUAUAGGAAUUUAGUCCUGCUCUACUUACUGCUUUGCUAAAUCGCUUUUCUCGUAAUAGCGCUUCGUCAGAAGCUCUAGACAAGCCAAAAGAAUGUAAAGAUGAUCUAAAGAAGAAUCAAACUCAUAAUAACAAAAGAUUGAAAGAUAACAUCUGGUGUUUGGUUACAUCCUGCUUUUCAAAGGCCCGUAAAAGUUCAUAUACAUAUAUAUACAUCCUGUACUCCGAGGAUUUUCAUUAGAACACAUAGAACAAUCAAUCAAUGCCACCUUAAAUUAAAAAUAAAUAAAUAAAUAAAAACAUUCAUUCUAUGUUUUCAUGCGAGGAAUCCUAACUUCUCCCCAUUUUUCUUCGCCAAACGGAUCAAUCCCUGUCUCUGCUUUGAAUCAGCUCCUAUUGUUUUGCAGAACUCUGUGAUCACCUGCAUCAGUUGUUUUAUCUUUUCAAUUCAUACACAUCUGAAAAGAACUCAUGAAAUGGAAAAUCUCCGAAAAGCCAUUCGACAUAUCAUGUUUAUAUCUUUUCUAUGCACCUUUUGUUUUUUACCCCCUUUUUUUGGAUAAUUUAAAAAUAAGAUAAUUUUUCUAUUCGACUCACUACUGAGAAAAAGAAGAAUACAAUCAACAGCCACAAAGGAGAUUUACAUUAAACUGAUCAAUUUCAUAGCUUUUUCACACUUUUAACUGAAGAGUAACGUUAUAUAUAUCUGCCAACACAUCAGUAAUUUGUUUUUUAUAAAAAAAAUCUCCGAUGCUUUUCGUAAAUUUUACUUCUCAUUAUGUUUUCAAAGAUUUGACGUUCGAGACAUUCAACAAUCUACAAAGAUUUAAAGUUUCUGCGGCGAUGCCAAAUGAAAAUAUAAAUUUCAACACCUAUUUUGUUGCAUAUAUAAGCUAUUAGAGAAACAUGACAAACAAUUUUAUUGGGAUCAUUUUGACAGUGACAUCGUCAAAUCUAUCGUUCACCACUGAUUGAAUCGGGCUUCCUAACCGAGCGGCCCUUAAAAUAUUGUGUGAUAUAAAAACAUAAAAAAUUAUAAAUAAAUAAGAAAGAAGUUCAACUGUAUACGGUUGGUAGUUUGUACCUGGGAGUGAAGCGCGAUGACUUUCCCGCGCAGCUGGUUGAAGCGCUUACGCCCGACAACGUUGCGCACCAAAACCACUAUGGGCGCGAAGAGCCCCUUGCCCUCGUUCACGUUGCCCAUCCGCGGCCGCGGCCGCGUCGGCCGUGCGGCGGCGACACGACGCACGGCGGGGACCCGCGGUGUCGCCACGCGGUCUCCGCCGCCAAGGAAAGAGGAUCCGAACCCCGCGGCGGCGGCGGGGGAGAGAGAGGCCGCGGCCAUGGACAAAGAAGGAGAGAUUUAGGUUGAGAGGAGUGAGGAGUAUGCUACAAAGGUCUUAAUUUCUCAGCUACGGUGAAAGAGAGAGAGUGUGUUUGUGUGUAUGGUGAGUUGAGAGUUGAGAGGCUUGAGUUUCAGGGAUGAUAGAAGCCAUGUCUUUGGUUGCGGACGUGGUCAUGUUCAGAUGCGUAUUCUUGACGAGAGAAUGCUUAAGACUGACAAAACAGGAUUGCAAUCUCUACAGCCUCUUGGAUCAGUGACCCUCAGUUUUACUCACUUGUCCGAUUGUCGUUACCGGCGCAAGUGACAAAAUACUUAAUAGUUAGUAUCGGAGAUCUUAAAUUUAAAUUUUAUUUGAUUUAUAUUUUCAACUAAAUUUACCUUAUAAUUUGAAUAAUUUUGUUGUAACAAAAAGUUAAAUACGUCUAGGAAAAAAAAGUUUUACUAACUUCCCCUUUACCUCAUCCAAAAAUUUAUCUUAACUGUUUAAUGUGUUUUAUCUGAUCCAAAAUCACUAAAUUUAUUUUUUUGGCCUAAUUUCUGUCUACAAAUUUUUAUAGUUCGAAUAACCUUGUUGUAAUAGAAAGUUAAAUACGCCAAUUUUUGUUUUCUCUUUUUACAUUCUUUUGAGAAUGUUUGUAAGCAGUUCAUAUUGAAUCCUAAAUUCGAAAGCGUCAAAUCCUCGUUUGAACUUUACCGUGCAUGUCUCUAGCCAUUGAGACUUGUAGUUGGUGGUAAUUCGGUACUUAAAAAGCAGAAGGACAAUCUGUAGCAAAAAAUCACUACUGAGAAGAGUUUGAUCAAAAAGAAAAGAAAAAAAGAAGUAAAACUAUUUAUAGGACUCUGAUCGGACUAAACUGGUAAAUUACAACUCGAUAAUAAUUCAUUUUUAGUUGGACUGAAAUCACUUGUUUUCUCGAGACAACAUUAAUUAUCAAGUUGGAAUUAUUAUGGUCGAAUUGCAGUCACACGGAUCCAAAUAUGUGUUCAAUUAAAACAAAAAAUUUAAUCUAAAGUGUCAAAUUCCUAAUAUAGGGCCGUAUUAGCCAAACCACUCUUAACAAACCAAACUCCAAAAAAAAAAAAAAAAAAAAAAAAAAUCUGUUCUCUCACUCGCGCCACGCAGCCCUUCUCACGUGGGAUCGAUCGAUCGAUCGAUCGACCAAGGCCCCCGACAAAAGGAAACCCUACCCCCAAUCUCCACCGUCCGAUCAAUCCAUCUCAGCCGUACGUUAGCCGAGGAUCUUACGGUGGUAUUUUAUCCCCAUCGUACCCCUUCGCUGUCCCCCUCCUCCCUCAGAUAUUUUCUACGAGGGGGCGGCGCCUUCGUCCCCAAUCGCUCCCUCUCUCUCUCUCUCUCUCGCUCGCCGUCUCCUCCCCCACAAUCCCCCCAUUUUCCCCGCUUCGUCUUCUACGGUAGAGGGAUUCGUUCAUGGAUUCGGACGUGGGGAAGCUAUUUAUCGGGGGGAUCUCGUGGGAGACGACGGAGGAGAAGCUCAAGGAGUACUUCGGCAAGUAUGGGGACGUGUCGCAAACGGUGAUUAUGCGGGAUAAGGUCUCCGGGAGGCCCCGAGGGUUCGGAUUCGUCGUCUUCGCCGAUCCCUCCCUCAUCGAUCGGGUGCUUCAGGACAAGCACGUCAUCGAUGGGCGCACGGUUUUGCUCUUAUCCUCUUUUCAUCUUCUGCUUCGGCUUAUGCUGUUGUUUAGGUCCUUUUUUUUUGUUGAUGUUUUAGUUGUUUAGUUUGUAGUCUUUGUUGAUAGCGAGAUCUAAUUUGUUGUAAAAUUCGGGGUUAGUAUCGGUGAAGCCCUAGAAAUUGGCUUGGUUGAUGUGUUAUUGAUGCUAAAUUGUAGUUUAAUUUGCGAGUAUUUUUUAUCUUUGUCACAUAUUAUCUGCUUCUUGCGAAUUGCGAUGUGGUUUUAGGGUUUUCAUUGUGUAUUCUGUUCUCUGCUCUGGGUAAUAAAAUUCAUAAGGUAAGAGUUUGGAUGCAUUCUUGAUGACAAUAAAUACUCUUGUAAUAGUUCAAUACACUGGUAGAAAGAUCAAACUCCUCCUGCUAUGUGUUUUUCCCCACAGAGAAAAUCAUCGCUAUGUUUGUUUCUAUGAAAUUGUCAAAGUCAGGAGCUGACUUGAGGUAUAUAUUUUUAAUAAUUUGCCUGCUUUUUUUCUUGUAAUUGCAUUUCCGGAAUGCCCAAUUCUCUUUGUUACUAUAGUCAUUCUGUUUGUGCUUUUAUCUUUAUUAGCUGCUAGUUUCUUCAUCGGUUACUUCUUCUUAAUAAUUUUUUGCUAUCAGGUGGAAGCUAAAAGAGCUCUUUCUCGAGAGGAACAGCAAACAUCCGUCAGAUCUGCAAACCCUAGUAGUGGUCGUUCAGCUUCAGGGGGGGGUGCGAAUAUCCGGACCAAGAAGAUAUUUGUUGGAGGACUUCCUCCAACUCUUACCGAAGAUGGAUUCCGUCAGUAUUUCCAAACCUACGGAAACGUGACCGAUGUCGUUGUCAUGUAUGAUCAGCAAACACAGCGUCCUCGUGGUUUUGGAUUCAUCUCUUUUGAUACAGAGGAUGCUGUUGAUCGUGUUCUUCAUAAAACUUUCCAUGAACUUAAUGGUAAAUUGGUAGAGGUAAAGCGUGCUCUUCCUAAAGAUGCAAAUCCUAGUAGUGGUGGUGGCCGUUCGCAAUCAUACGGUGGGUCUGGGCAAAGUGCUGCUUCAUAUGACAAUAGAAUGGAGGCCAAUAGGUAUAUGCAGCAGCAACAAACUGGUGGCGGCUAUCCUACGUAUGGUUCGUCGGCAUAUGGCGCGCCAAGCUAUGGGUAUGGAGGAGCGAGCAAUGUUGGGUAUGGAGGGUAUGGUGUUAGUGGCUAUGGAAGUGCUUCUGCUGCUGGGUAUGGUGGACCUGCUGGGGCUUAUGGGAAUCCCAAUGCAGCUGGUGGCUAUGUCAGCGGCCCUCCAGGAGCUGCUCCCAGAAGCCCUUGGACCAAUCAAGCUCCGACUGGGUAUGGCUCCUCGGGUUACGGAGGGAAUACAGCCUAUGGAGCAGCUUCCUCGUGGGGCACUUCUGCUGGUGGUGCUGGUGGUGCUGCACCGACCAGCCAGUCGCCAAACAGUGCUUAUGGAAAUCAAGGAUAUGGUGGGUAUGGUGGAUAUGGUGGGGCAGAUGGAGCUUAUGCUAGUCAAGGUGGUGGUUAUGGGGCUGUUGGCGGCCGUGGUGGUGGGCCUACAAAUAAUGCAGCUAGUGGGUCAGGCGUACAAGGUGCUGGUUAUAUGGGUGGUGGGUAUGGUGAUGCCAAUGGGAGCUCGGGUUAUUCGAAUGCUUGGAGAUCUGAUCCUUCACAGGCUGCAGCUUAUGGAUCGGGUCAGGUUAAUGGGCCUGCUGGUGGCCCAGCUAAUUAUGGCGGGGGUUAUGGAGGCAGUCAAGGCCGGCAGCCUCAGCAGCAGUAACUAUUGAGAGGAUUGACUCUUUCAAAUGGAAGCAGAUUUUUCAGCCUGGUUGGAAUGCUUGAACCCCAAUAGUAGUGUAGCUGCAGUUCUCUAUUAUGUUAAGUAUAAAAUAAGUAGCUGUUUGAGGAUCAGUAGUUAUCGCAUAGUUCUAUAUGCCUUUUAGUGUUCGUUUGCUUAUUAAGUUUGGUAUGUUUUUAGGGUUUGUUUCCUUGCUCUUGCUUUCUUGUUUUAAUUUAGAGUACCUUAUGUUAACCUCUUCCUUAUGUCGUAUUGAACUUCUAUGUUUUGUGCUAUGGUUAAGUACAAUGUCUGUGGUACUGGAAGUAAUAUUUGAAGCUAAGCAUUGUGUAGGUGUAUUGAGAAUGUGGUUGAUUCUUAGCACUGCAAAGAACUACAUUUGUAUGUUUCAGUUUUUCGUACAUGGUACUGGCUACUGAGUAAGAUUUACAAUCUUACUGUAGCGGACAAAUUAAUGUGCUGAUGGUGGUAGUUUCAUUGAAGUAGAGCAAGCAUGAUUUUGUUCUUGUCAUCUAGUACGAAGAUAUGAUUUUGCCGUAGCUGACUCCAAUUGUAUGCUGACGGUGAUGCACUUCAUUGAACUAGCAGCAAUUUCAUUCUUGUAGGAAAGUAGAUGCAUAGAGAGCCUGUUUGCAAUGUGGCUAACUACUUUUGCUAAGCAACGGGUAAAGGUAGUGAGAAUAUUCUUGACACUUAGCACCUGUAUCAUGGUUUUAAGUUUAUGAUGUUUCUUCUGCGGACGUUUAUCAUUGAAAACUAGCCAUGAGUUGAACUGUUGAGAAAGAAUUUGAUAAUUAACAAUGAUUACUGGUAUUUCAGUUCAAUUUUUCACCUACGGUAAAGAGAAUGAUGUAUGAUCCUGCUGUAGCUGGCUAAUAUCACAGUGGUGGUAGACUUCAUCAAAGUAGCAUAUGUUCGUUCUCUAAAAGAGAGUAGAGACACAGUAACUGUUUAUCAGCAUUAUUUGGUUGCAAGUUAGAAGCAGUGCAUGUAUAAGGAGAAAGAUGUAUGAUCUUACUGUAGCUGCAGUAGCAUCUAUUUCUUGUAAGAUAGGAGUAGAGAUGUAAGAGCGUAUUGGUAAAUUCUCGGAUCAAGUAAUCUAUCGGCUAGGGUAUCGUAGUAAUAGUUGAGAUAUUUGUCAGUGGAGUAACUUUUCCUCCCUUGUAUCCAUAUUUUGUACAGGACAUGCUGCUCUUUGCUGUCCCAGUUUGGUUAUCACUGGAGCCUUUUCAGGGUGAGUUAUCUGCUGGGCACAGUCGAGGCCAGUCUUUGAAGCACUGAUGGUCUCAUUCGUGUUCGUGUUAUUGGUUUCAGUCAUGAAGUGCCAUGAACUUCCAUGUGAUGACCUGCGGGUACGUAAAACAUUUGACCUGUUAACCGGAAUACUUAAUGCUCAGUAUACGUUUACAUUGAAUCAAUGAAAUUUUGAUUGAAAAAUUAGCUUUAAUGGAUUUCAAAGAUGGUGGGUGAUCGGAUUUAGCAGUGAUAUCUAUUAGCCGAAUAUUUAUAGGGCUCUCUAAGAUUUUUGAACUUUGAACAAGUGAUCCGGUUGACAACUUGUGUAGCAUGAGGAUUUUCUUUUGUGAUUGCAACAUAGGAGCUUGAUUUAUCCUAUGGCAAGAUUCUCUUUAAUUAGGAUUUUUAAGGAUAAUGCAUUCCGCCUGCUAGGUGUUUUAUCAUGUUCGGAGAAAUUAGUCUAGAGGUUCUAUAAACUAUUAUAGAUAUCUUUGCAUUUUCUUUAUUAACCGGUUACUAAAUGCCCAUUAGUAAUCAAAAUUGACAUGCUGAACAUGAUGAUCAUUCUUCUAAGCAGGUUCUUAAUAUAUCAUGAAGUCGCGCAUUAAAUUUCAAGCCAAACUUUUAUCAUCACAUCCGCCAGUAAAUAUGAUAAGAGGUGGACUCCAUUUGAAAGCAUUCUUUUGUAAUUAAGGCAGAAAGAUUAAUCUGCCAAUCAAUAUGAGGCGGACUCCAUUAGAAAUCUUUCUUUUGUAAUUAAAGCAGAAAGAUUAAGGGGCAUUUACAGGUAGGCUCAGCUUCCUUAGUCACAAGAUCGCCUAGGUGUAAGUGUAUUGAUAUGUCUAGGAAGAAUCUUUUCACAAUACUAACUCUAUGCUUUGGAGAUGCCUUGUAUUUUCUUGCAGUUCACUCCCAAAACAAGCGCCGAGUAUGGGGUGGGAAAUUAUUAGCCUAUUCUGAAUCUACAAAGAGUAGUCUGAUUCCGUGCCCGAUGACACACAGUUUCACCAGUUUUGCAUUUUUGUCCCGGAGUGCUUUAAUGGAGCUUAAAUGUUGUGGAGUUUCGGAAGGCCUUUCUCAAUACUUAGUCACAUAUCCUUUGUUCUUUUUAUCUAAAGCAGAACACUUUGUACAAAAAGAAAAAAAAUGUAAUUUAGCUUUGCCCAAGAGUUUUCUAUCCGUUUAAAGUUUCCUAUUUCAUUCGAUAUCUUGGAUAUAUGCUGACUAUCUAUUGGUACCAAUUGCACGGAUUACUGCUUAUCUUCCUACCGAUCAGUGGUGUCUUGGUAGACAUAUUUGGGCACCUUGUUCAUCAUAUAAUAUCUAGUACCCCUAUCUAGUAUUAUUAUCCUUGUGGUUAGAAGUAACUUAGAUGGAAGCGAGAAGGUAUAAUUUUAAUAACUUGGUUUUUUUUAACCUUUUUCAAGAAGGGAGUUGUUUCCCAAGUUGUCCAGUAAGUGGAAUGUUCUUUUUGUCGGUUUUGAAAAUUUUUUUGUUGCCACGUUCGCCGAUAACUUGUCCAAAGUGAGAAAAUGUUGAUCAGUGCCGGCCCCGGCAGUCAAGUUACUAUUUGGGAUUAUAUCACGUAUAUAAUAAUAAUAUCUAUUUAUGUGCAUUCCAACGUCAUGAUGUACGCCUUUUGCGCCUUUGAAGUACCUAAGGCGGUGUUUGGUUAUUCGUAAAAUCAACCCUAAAAUGUUGAAAAAUAAAAAUUUGAUGUUUGUUUGUCUAUAAAAAAAUUUUUCGGAUUGUGUGUAAAAGUUGAGUUUUCGUUCAUGCGGUCCACGAGGUCUGGUUCACCUCGUGGACCGUGUGAGGAGAGGACCGAAAGGUCCAUAAUGGAUCUCUCUCUGUCGGACUCUAUAUAUAUAUAUAUAUAUAUAUAUAUAUAUAUAUAUAUAUAUAUAUAUAUAUAUAUAUAUAUAUAUAUAUAUAUAUAUAUAAGAGAAAAUNUAUUAUAUAUUAUAUUAUAGUAAUUUAUUAUAUAAUAUAUUUUAAAUUAUAUAAUAUUUUAUUUAUAAAUAUAAAAUAUAAUAUUAAUAUAUAUGUAAUAUGAUAAUUAUUAUAUAUUAAUAAUAUAUAAUAUAUAAAAUAAAUAUACAUGUAUAUAUAUAUAGAAUAAAUUUUUAAUUAUAAUUUUUUUUUUCUUUUACUUUUACGUUCAACCAAACAAUUUUCACCGAAAAUUAUUUUUUUUUCCUACGAAGCAAAUAUUAGCACGUAAAAUUUUUUUUCCACCCAAAUUUUUUUUUUUUACAGUUUUACGUGAAACCAAACACACCCUGAAUUGUUGCUCUGUCGCGUGAAAGGGGAGCGACGGAGAAAUCGUUGCCUGCGCCUAGCCCAUAUAUACGUAGUAUGGACCAAAGUAUUCUUCAUCCAUUUAUUUGUAUAUAUCCUACUUCUCACUUAAAUCUGUACCGUCCAAGCCUUUUCAAGUAGGGGGCAAAACGAAUGGACGGCUACUGUCCGGUGCAUGGGUCUACGCGCGAGAGCACCGGAUGCAGGGAAAGGGUUUUGUGCAUCCCAAUGGGGCUGCGCUGUAUCUUCCCAGGCAAGUGACAAAAUCCAUCCUGUAUCGCUCUUUUCUCUCUCCUCACCUCCAACGUCCAACGAUGUCCGUAGCUAUCUAUAGCACUCCCUCAAUAUGGUGGGAGCGGGUCCCACGCCUCCCCCCACCCCACGAACCCCUCCGCCACCGCAAACUCCGGCGACCAUGGGCCGCCGCCGCCUCUCCUCGGGCUCGUCGUUCCCGGACGAAUCCCUCGACGGCGGCGGGGGCGCCGGCGCGGCGGAGCUGCGGUGGCCCUUCGGGCGCCUCGACUCCAUCGACCGCGACGAGCUCCGCGAGAGCGCCUACGAGGUCUUCUUCACCUCCUGCCGCUCCGCCCCCGGCUUCGGCGGCCGCAACCCCCUCUCCUACUUCCCCGCCUCCGACGCCGCCGGAGGCGGAGGCGGAGCCGCCGUGGAGGGCGGCGGAGGAGGCGGUGGCGCGGGUUCGGGCAUGACGGUGGUGNGAUGCGGCCGAUGGGGUCGCCCGCCGCCGCCGGGAAGGUGCGGCAGCGGCCCAUGACCUCCGCCGAGAUCAUGCGGCAGCAGAUGGGGGUCACCGAGCUCAGCGACAACCGUCUCCGGAAAACCCUUAUGCGCUCCCUCGUCGGCCAGGUCUCAAUACAGCAACAAAAUCUCUACAUUUUGCUCCGAGUUAUAUUAAAUUGAGAUUACCGUAGAACAUAGAAGAUGCGUAUAAUGUGUUUGAUGUUAUUUCCCGGUGAAGAGAGAUAUCUCUAAUGAAUUUAGUGAUAGUGAUCAUGUCAUUAUUUAAGGGUACGAAGGUGCAAAAUAGUUUCGCCAUUGCAAGUGAUGGAAGAGAUAUAUAGUUAUCUGACUUUAAUUACUUGAAUAGCUCUUAUUAGGUGUUCGAUAGAAUUAAUUGGACACUUGGGACUGUACAGGAGAUGAUUCGUUACUCUAGUUGUGCAACACAUUAUAAUGUAUUUGAUAGAAGUACUCAGUCAUAUAGCUUCAUCUCCUUCCCUAUGUUCUUUAGAUAGUAGAGCUUCUUUUGUAUAUACUAAGAAUGUCACUCAGUGUAGAAUCUUUGGUGUUGGAGUUAAUGGUAAUUUGGUGUAUUUUGUGUCAUUUUAUCAGAUGGGUAGAAGAGCAGAGACAAUCAUCCUCCCCUUAGAGCUUCUUCGCCAAUUAAAACCGUCCGAGUUUGCCGAUGCGUAUGAAUACCACUUAUGGCAACGCCGCCAGCUGAAGAUUCUAGAAGCAGGCCUAAUCCACCACCCCCUGGUCCCUUUAGACCGGCUCAACCCCGCUGCCCUUCGCUUCCGGGAGAUCAUGAAGUUGAGCGAGCUCAAGCCCAUUGACACGAGCAAGAACUCUGAAUCCAUGCGAGCCCUCAGCAGCUGCGUGCUCGCCCUGGCCUGGCGAAACCCCAAUGGCGCUCCCGUUGAGGUUUGCCAUUGGGCCGACGGCUUCCCUCUCAACAUGCACCUUUAUUUAUCCCUCCUCCGCGCCAUAUUCGACAUUAGGGACGAGACUGUGGUGCUCGACGAGGUUGACGAGCUACUUGAGCUAAUGAAGAAGACAUGGACUGCUUUAGGGAUCAAUAGGAUGAUCCACAAUGUGUGCUUCACCUGGGUCCUUUUUGAACAAUAUGUGGUGACCGGGCAAGUUGAGCCGGACUUGAUUUGUGCGACAUUGGCAAUGUUGGUGGAGGUUGGGAAUGAUGCGAAAAAGGCAGAUAGAGAGCCUGGGUAUGUUAGGGUUUUAUCUGCGACGUUGAAUUCUAUCCAGGCGUGGGCAGAGAGGAAGCUAUUGAACUAUCACGAAGGGUUUGAGAAGGGUGCUGUGGGGAUGAUGGAGAAUGUGUUGUGUUUGGCUCUCUCGACUGCAAAGAUUCUUAGUGAAGAUACCUCAACUUGUUGUGGUACACCGGUCCAUGGCGAGCGUGAUUAUAUGACUCUGAGCAGUUCAUUGUCAGGAAAUCGGGUCGAUCACUAUAUUAGAUCCUCAAUAAAGAAUGCCUUCACCCGGGUGAGUCUUGAUAUUACAUAUGUUGUCAAUCACUACGCAUUGGUGGUAUAAUUUGCCAUUAUGUUUGUUAGAAUUCAUUCUGACUAAAAGUUACAAUUUAUAGUGCUUCUAUACCUUUAUCAGAAAAAUAAUGUUGAAUUCGUUCUCAAUUUCAACCCUGCGACAAAAUUUUCCUGGAAAUAAACCUUAACAACUAGCUAUCUUCAUCAGAGCGGGUUUGCGUAACUUAAUAUCUAUAUUUUGACACAGAUAUACGAGAAUGGGAGCGGGAAUGUCGACAGUAUGGUGGUGGAAGUUGACGAGGAUCCAAAUGAGGUCCUCAUGAACUUAGCCAAAGAGAUAGAGGACUUGGCUAUAUCAGAGAAAGAGACCUAUAGCCCCAUACUGAAGAAGUGGCACCCAGUUCCCAGCGCGGUGGCAGCUGUGACCCUCCACAACUGCUUCAGUGUAGUGCUGAAGCAGUAUGUUUCGCGGAUGUCGGGCCUAACGAAUGAGUCGGUUCGCGUGCUCCAGUCAGCCAGCAAGCUCGAGAAGGUUUUGGUCCAUAUGGUCGUGGAGGACUCGGUGGAUUGCGAGGAUGGCGGGAAGGCGAUUGUGAAGGAGAUGAUCCCGUACGAAGUCGACUCUGUCAUUUUGAAUUUGAUGAAGAGUUGGAUCAAUGAGAGGCUGAGGAUUGGACGGGAGUGUGUUAACAGAGCUAAAGAGACUGAGGUAUGUAUGCUUAAAGCUCUCCCCGUACUUGUUCCUGUUUGGCCCAGCUUAGUUUAUGAAGAAGCUUAUCUACUCUUCAAAGCAAUAACAUAUUUUGUCAAAUGAAACACCUGGUGUGUUUGCGGUGAAUGGAUGAAACUUCUCUACUUCGAAAAACAGUAUUUAAGCGUUUUUGCAAAUAUGAACUGAAUUGAGCUUUUGAGCCAUAAAAAUUUGAAGCUUCUGUAAUGAGGUUCAUUCUAUUGAGGGGCGUUCUAUUAUGGGGAAAGAAAAUUUGUAGUGCUUCUUUGAAUUAUUCUACUCAAUCAGUACUUAUUCAGAAGCUCGUGAUCAAACAGUCCUGCACUGUCUGUUGAUAGUGAUAAUUCAACUUGUUUGAUGUUUAUUUCUUUGCUUCUGCUUGUAGGGUUGGAACCCAAAGUCAAAAUCGGAGCCAUAUGCUCAAUCUGCUGUCGAUCUAAUGAAGCUGGCGAAGGUGACAGCCGACGAAUUCUUUGAGAUCCAAGUGGGCGCCCGUGAAGAACUGGUCCAGGACCUUGCUGACGGCAUCGACAGCCUCGUCCAGGACUACGCCUCCUUUGUCGCUUCAUGUGGUAAUCACAAAUCUCCACUUCAGUCUCAAUUCUAAUCUCCAAUAGCUCCGUAGUUUUAAUGGUCUCUUGUUGAUUUAAAUUAACAAAAAAUUAAAAGGGACAAAGCAGAGCUACAUCCCGUCGCUCCCGCCACUGACGCGGUGCAACCAGGACUCGAAACUCCUCCAGCUUUGGAAAAAGGCGGCGCCGCCGUGCCAGGCCGGCAUUGCCGACGGCACCCCCGACCCGUCUGGUGUGGAUGGUGGGGCUAAGCCGAGGCUGAUCAUUUGCAAGUCGACGCGGGCACAGGGCGAGACCCACCACCCACGUCCGAGUACAAGCCGCGGUACGCAGCGGCUAUACGUACGCCUCAACACCCUCCACUACCUCCUUGCCCUCCUCCACUCCAUUGACAAGUCCCUCUCCUUCUUCUCCCGCUCUGCUCUCGGUGUCGGCGGCCCCUCCCCAUCGCCACGCGUCCUCACCCCAAACCCCACCCGCCGCCGUGCUGUCGCUCCAACCCACUUUGAGCACGCCCGUGCCGCCCUCCACUCCGCCAUCCUCCAUGUCGCUGAGCUCUCUGCCUACCGCCUUGUCUUCCUCGACUGUGCGCACUCCUUCUAUGACUACCUCUACCUAGGCGGUGUCGCCGGUGCUCGCGCGCGUCCUACGCUCCGCACACUCAAACAGAACCUUGCAGUGCUUGUCGGUGUCCUCACCGACCGGGCACAGACCCUUGCCGUGCGUGAGGUCAUGAAGGCCUCCUUCGAGGCAUUCCUCAUGGUGCUUCUUGCCGGGGGGAGCGCGCGGGCGUUUGCACGCUCUGACUACACGGCGGUAGCGGAGGACUUCGCAAGCCUGAAGCGGGUGUUCUGUAGCUGCGGGGAGGGGCUGGUAGCAGAGGAGGUGGUGGAGCGGGAGGCUGCAGCAGCAGAGGGGGUGGUGGCGCUCAUGGCGCUGCCGACGGAGAAGCUCGUGGACGAAUUCACCGCGAUGGCAUGCGCUGCCGCAAGCAGCAUCAGCCCAGGGAAGGUGCCGAUGCCGCCUACGACUGGGCGGUGGAGCCGCGCCGAUCCCAACACCGUGCUACGGGUGCUGUGCCACCGCGACGACGAGGUGGCCAACAGGUUCUUGAAAAGAGCCUUUGAACUGCCGAAGAGGAGGUGACAGUUUUAUUUCUUCAACUGGGGAAGAGUCGGCGAAGAGAUUCCAAAGACGUGGAUUCGGUGCCGUUUUUUAUUCGGUGUAUAUUCAUUGGAGAAUUUUUGUGGUAAUAACAUAUACAUACAUGGUAGGGAGAUUUAUCUAUGUGUAUUAGCCAAUUUAAGUCACUGGACUUAAUUAGAGUUUCUACUUUAUACGCAGGGAAGGGUGCAGGGAUAGUGAAGGGUGCAGGGACAGCGGGGAGGGUUUGGGGUUGGCUCUGUUUAUCGGGGUAUGUUAAACUGUUAAUUAAUGAAAAAAAAAAAAAAGUAAUAUCAUGUAACUUGUAUUCUCUCUUCGGCAACUCCCAGUGGUUGGAGAUCACGUUCUUCUUACCUUUUUCAAUCCGAGUGUCAUUAUAAAUCUUUUGACACUCAUUAUUAGGUCAUUUAUUUACCCUACUUCUCUGUAAUUAUUACGAUAGAUCCAGUUUCAUGAAGACCAAACUAUUCAAUGCUGAUUGCUGGAUGCUAUGCUGCGCCAGCUCUUUCUACAGCCUUCUAUAAUAAAGAUCCAAUGCUUUCAAAAAAUAAUAAUCAAUUUGGUAACAUUUAUUUCUUUCAGAAAUUGAUGCAGCUGUCGCAUUUUAACUGGGGCAAUUCACGACCGACAUGGCAGACCCGGUCCAGGGAACAUUCCUGAGGACCAGUUUAUUUUCCCCAAAAGAGUUUCUGUGAUUCAUAGUUUGCCACAUGGGGACCAAUAACACGAUUGGUUCCAAAUUUCCAAUUGGGUCGAGUUCGUAGAGUCUAAUUACUAGGCCGUUGCCAUAGCACGACACGAGCCCAUUUGACCAAUCUCCGAGCCCGUCACUCAACCUGGUCCAGCUAUUAAUGUAUAGUCUCAGUCUUCUAGAAAUUAGAAUCCAUCUUUCUCGUCUCUCUCUCUUUCUCUCUUUCUCCAUUCAUGCUCCCACACAUGGUCUUCAAAAACGGCUCACGUGCCUCAUGUCCGUCCGAUCCCGCUCCCACGGUCAAGAUCUCCCUCCUUCGCAACCCACCCCUCCCGCUUCCCCUCGUCAAAAAGCCCGUGAGCUCUCCUCCCUCUACCUUCUCCCGAGAGAGUGAGAGCGAGAACGAGAGAGAGAGAGAGAGGCGAAGAGGGUUUCCAUGGGGCGAUACGAUUCGCCUCGCGUUCUCUUACCUCUCCUUCUACUCGUCGUCGUCGUCUCCUCCGGUGUGCUCGUCGUAGGAGGAGGAGCGGCGGAGGGAUCGGCGGCGAGAGGCGGCGGAGGCGGCGGAGCAGAGAACUACUACUCGAAGCUCUCGGGGAUCAUCAUACCGGGGUUCGCGUCGACGCAGCUGAGGGCGUGGUCUGUGCUCGAUUGCCCUUACUCCCCCUUCGACUUCAACCCCCUCGACUCCGUUUGGCUCGACACGACCAAGGUAACGCUACUCUACCCUCUCUAUCUAUCUCUCUCUCUCGCUCUCUCGAUCUCGAUUCGUGAUCCCGGUGGUGAGAAUUUGCUCCUAUGGCCGUUCCUCGAUGCCUACCGAAUUUUGUUGCAUUUCUCUGAGUGAAUUGAGUAAUUGAUAAGUUUUUUUAUACCGCAAAGAUGAUCGAUCGCUUAUUCUUCUUGUUUAUUUUCUCUCACUUGUGAUAUUUUGUUUGUUUAAUGAUGCUACACUUGGAUAUGGAUUGGAUUGGAUUGAAUAGGAUUGAAUUGGAUUUUUGAUAUUCUUAUUGUUGAAAUGGUUGUACAUAUCAAACAUUUAUGUUUGAUGGUUUGUAUAUGUUUAAGCUUCAAUAUCGUUUGCAUAGAUCUGUUGUUUUUUAUUAUUUGUUUGCGGCAUGUAGUUCUGGAUACUAUAUCCUUCAGUAUUGAUUUGACACUUCUACUUUGGAUGUUCGCAAUAAAUUCGUAUUCCAGUUUUAUAGAGGUUGUAUUGGCAUAUUGCACUUUUCACGUCUCCAAAUUUACUGAUAUGUAAUUAUAUAAGUUGAAAAGUUGGAGUAGAUGAUGGAGUAAAAUUUACUUUGCUUUCUGAAUUUAUGUGUUGAGCAGCUCUUUUCUGCUGUAAACUGUUGGCUUAAGUGCAUGAUGCUGGACCCUUAUAAUCAAACAGACCAUCCUGACUGCAAAUCGAGGCCUGAGGUCGGUCUUUCUGCGAUCACAGAACUAGAUCCUGGUUAUAUAACGGGUAUAUAAAUGCUUCAUCUCAUCUCAAUUUCUCUUUCAUAUCGGAUAAUUCUAAUCUGCUACCAUAUCUUUCAUUUCUUUGGUAAAAUAUGAAGAAACAUGUCCACUAAAGUGCAUUAUGAUUAGUUUACUUCAAGUUGUUGCUUUCUCUUGCCUUGAUAUUCCUUGGUGUUUUCCCAGGCAUUGACUGUUAUUAAUAUUCCAAAAGGAGUUGGAUAUUAGCUACUUAAAGCAGACGAUGCUCUCCUCAACUAGAUAUACAAAAUGCUUUUGUGCAAUUAUAGAACUUCAUAUAGUGUGAUAAAAAAAAUGUGCAGUAACGUUGUAUAUGUAGACCCCAUCCCUUUUGAAAAAAUUUCACACACUUCAAUCAACACGUGCUGUUUGAGAUUAAUGUAGUCCAUAAGUCUUCUUACUUUUCAUGCCCAAAAAUUUAUUGUGAUAAUAUAAGCAUAUUUCAGUGACGUAUGAAGCGAAACUUUACUCUAUGUUGAUUACUAUAUUUAAGCAAGAUUUUCCAGGUCCUCUUUCUUCGGUGUGGAAAGAAUGGCUUAAAUGGUGUGUCGAGUUUGGUAUUGAAGCUAAUGCAAUUAUUGCUGUUCCAUAUGAUUGGAGAUUGUCUGGAUCUAUGCUUGAGGAGCGAGACCUUUACUUUCACAGACUGAAGUACGUGGUUCUUAUGUCCCGUUACUCGUAUAUUUGGCAAAUUUCUUAAAGUGGUGAUUCAAUUGCUUUGUGAAAUGCUUUUUUUGUUUUCUCCUGAUUCUAUGUAGAAUCAUAACUUUGUUGGUUUUGAUAAAGGAUGAUAGUGUCAGUUCCUUCGAAUUGUCAACUCCGCAUUCUUUUUUUCCCCCCAGUUGUGCAUCUUUUUUGUUUCAACGUGUGAAUACUAUGUCUUUUUUCAAGUAAAAACAAUUUGAUCGCCUAUGUUGAUUGUUACAUUCUUUGUCCUACAGAUUAACUUUUGAAAUAGCUCUGAAACUUCGUGGGGGUCCCUCUUUGGUAUUUGCUCACUCUAUGGGGAACAAUGUUUUUCGCUACUUCUUAGAAUGGCUGAAGCUUGAAAUCGCUCCGAAGUACUAUACUCAAUGGCUCGAUGAUCAUAUUCUUGCUUAUUUUGCUGUAGGUAUAUGCACUUUAUUAAUUUAUACGUCGAAUACAUGAAUUCUAACCUGUCUAGGACGAUAGUUUAUUAUUAUGGGUGCUUCAACUUCAGGUGCUCCUCUUCUCGGUGCCACUGACUCCGUCAGAGCCACUCUUUCUGGAGUUACAUUUGGUCUUCCAGUUGGUGAGGUUGUUCCUUUUACCAACGGUCAUAGUCAGUCCGACUUUGCCCAUUGCUUCAUUUCCUUUUUUGUUUAUUGCUUUUAAUAUCUUUUCAUAAUGCAAUCUCUUAUACUUCAAAGUUAGCAGCACUAUGAUUAGGUACCUUGAAGUAGAUAUCUUGGUUUUUUUUUUUUUUUUUUUUUUUUUUUCUAAAUAUUUGGUAUGUGUGUGUGCGCGUGCGCUGAAUUUGCAUAGAAGACUAGCAGAGAGACUAAACAGAUGUGAUGCAUAUUUAAUCAUCUGAAAAAGCUUUAAAUAUCUGUUUAAAUUUGUUGUAUUUGUUUUCAGGGAACAUCACGAUUAAUGUAUAAUUCGUUUGGCUCUUCUUUAUGGCUGAUGCCAUUCUCAAAGUACUGCAAAGCAGACAAUAUAUACUCGAGACAUUUUUUUGAGGGAAGGGGAGGUCAACAGCACACUCUACAUUGUGAUGAGAUGGAAUUUCGUUCAAACUACUCUGGCUGGCCCACCGACAUAAUCAAUAUUGAGGUUCCUACCCAUCAAGGUGCUUUUCUAGCAUCACUUAUUUCUCCUAUUAAUAUAUUGUGGUGCCAGGACUAGUUAUUCUCUUGCCCUUGCAUGGAUUGAUGCAUAUCCGACAAUCACUGAAGUAGCUGAAAACUAGUUAUUCUCUUGCCUUUGCAGGGAUUGAUGCAUAUCCGACAAUCACUGAAGUAGCUGAAAACUUGACUGCUAGCAUGGAAUGCGGAAAACCUACCUUGUUGUCUUUUUCUGCUAGAGAAGUUUCAGAUGGCACUUUCUUCAAAGCAAUAGAGGAAUAUGACCCAGAUAGCAAAAGGCUUACCUAUCAGCUCGAGAAGUAAGCUUGGCAAAAAUAUAAAAGCAUGUUCUUACCACAGUGUUAGGUUUCUUUACACUAUGUGAUUACGUUCAUGAUCACUUGAAGGUGUAGUUGUCUUGAAGAAUUGACCUUUAUUUUGAUUAACAGAUCCUUAAUCUCUUCUUUACUUGUUGGCCAUGUAGUAUUUAAUUUCUUCAUAACAGUUUUCACGGCAGUUUUAAAUUUAUGCUGCCAUCAGAUGAUGUGAAAUAUGUAAUCAGAGUUUGCAGCGUGCAUGUAAUUUAUAUGGAUACAUGUUCAAUUUCCAUAACCUGGAAAUGUUCAUGCUAUUCUAUGCAAUUCCCUGUUAAGCCAUUUCUGAGUUAUUUCAUAUUAUUACAAUGCCAAUUUUGAUUUAUGCAUCUACGGAAGGCAUGUUGUUCUAAAUUUUAAUUGCUUUUAAUCUCAGGUAUUACCAGGGCGAUCCAGUGCUAAAUCCUCUUACGCCAUGGGAUAGACCACCACUAAAGAACAUAUUCUGUAUAUAUGGGAUUGAUUCGAAGACUGAGGUAGAAGCACAAAAUUCUUUAGCUGGAAAGAACUUUCUAGAGUAGCUUUUCCUUGGACUUUGUAAUAUUUUGAUACUGUUAUAGCAUCCCAUUAGCUGAUUUAUUGGCUAUACUAUUGUCUAUCAAUUCUCUGUUUACGGUCUUUUCUUUUUGGGUUUAAUUCUUAUAAAUAUUUUUGAAACUCUUUAAAUGGUCACUUGUUUUUCUUAUUCUGCUAGAUAGAUUUAUGAUGUGGCUCUAUCAGCACUUCUCUUCUGCUAGAUAAAUGCUGGAUAUUACUUGCAUGAGUUAUGUGGUUUUACUGUAUCCCUAUUUCAUGUGUAUGAUGCAUUAGGAUUUAAGUGUCAUAUUUGAUCUGUUAAAGCAAUUUUCAUUGGCAGAAACAUUGUAGAAUAGUUCCUUACAUGUUCUCCCUUCUCCUCUGGUAUUGUUAUCUAAAAGUUGUAUUGAAUAAGGAUAUUUGGCCUAAUGAAUAUUAUUAUGUACUUUUGAAACAGGUAGGAUACUAUUUUGCACCUAGUGGCAAACCAUAUCCUGACAACUGGAUCAUAACUGAUGUGAUUUAUGAAUAUGAAGGAACUUUACUUUCGAGGCAGGUGUCUUCAAAUUUUUCACUUAUGCGUGUAAUACUAGUAAUAAGCUCUUUGUAGAGUAGUAUCCAUUUUGUAGAGUGAUAUACUGCAAUAAAAGAUUUAUUAUAAUGUUACACAGUUGCUUUUGUCGAACUUCUGUAUUAGCCUGCUACAUGAUACUUUGACUAAGGACAUGGUUAUUUUGCUGGAAUGUAGUAGUUAGGUCCUUACUAAUCCAGGUCGUGUUUUCUGUGCAUAUUCUUCUCAGAUCAGGGAAUUCUGUUGCUGGAAACCCUGGUGCUUCAAGUGGGGAUGGAACAGUAUGUAUGAGAAGCGAUCUUUCCUUCUUGGCUAAGAUAUAAUAGCACCAUAUGUUUUUUAUUUUAAUAAAGAACAACACUAAGCUUGACAUCUGUUCAUUCAUCAGUAAAUUGCUGUAUUGCAGGUAUCCUAUAAUUCGCUUUCAUGGUGCAAGACUUGGCUCGGACCUAAAGUAAAUAUAACGAGAGCCCCACAGGUGCUAAAAUGGGUUUCGAACUCUUAUUGGUAGUUUUGAACCUCAUUAUUCAUCAAUUAAUAUCUUUCUAUAUACUUACAAAGCUUGCACUGGCUACCCAUAGCUAUCUCAGUUUCUCUUGUAAUCUUCAAAAUUAUAAAUGAAGAUUUUCCAACUAUCGCAUGCAAUAUUUCUUAACACUCUACCUUUUUCAAGUAAUUUUUUUAGUAAAGUAGCAUGUUGCCUCCUUUUUCGUUCAACAGGCUGAGCAUGAUGGAUCUGACGUGCAAAUAAGCCUGAACGUAGAACACCAUAGGGACAUAGAUAUAAUUCCAAACAUGACGAGAACUCCCCGUGUAAAGUACAUUACCUACUAUGAAGACUCUGAAAGUAUUCCAGGAGGGAGAACUGCAGUAUGGGAGCUUGAUAAAGGUACGACAGUUAUUCCUCGAGUAUUUUUGUACAAAUUUCAUUUAUUUUGUGCUUAACAACCAUUCUCCUUCAACAGGACACCACAGGAAUAUCGUAAGGUACCCUGUUCUGAUGCGUGAGCUGUGGCUUCAAAUGUGGCAUGAUAUACAUCCUGAUACUAAAACCAAGUUCGUGACUAAAGGUACUAUUCUAUAUCAACUACAUUUCCUUUAUUUAUACUCUUCAAUUUGACUUCCUUAGUUCGAGUACUAACAGAGGCUUGUAAACAGCCAGACGCGGUCCGUUGAGAAAUGUGGAUUGCCAUUGGGAUUAUGGGAAAGCUCGCUGUGCCUGGCCCGACCAUUGUGAAUACAGGUCCUUCAUUUUUUUUGAUACUUUCGUUCUCAAUCUUUCUCUUGAUUUGAUUUAACUUACAAUGAAGGGAAAGAAAAUCAUGUUAAUUGGUAAUCCAGGUAUGCAUUUGGCGAUGUUCACCUUGGUCAGAGUUGCAGACUUAAGAACUCAUCGAUAGACCUCCUCUCAGAGUACUUGAAAGUGAGCUUCUUUCCUCUUACUGUUUUUUCACCCCUUUUUAGCUGUAUGUUACACUUAAUACAAUUAUAUUGGGGAUAUACACAUUUUUGUUGUUGCAAUGAAUUAUUAUUAGCCUUUUCUUUAUCACCGACUUAUUAUGUCUUUGGCUGCAGCUUGAUUAGCUUUGAUGAGUGUCUCCAUCCGAUUAACUGGAGAAAAUGCAGGGGUGAUGCGGAAAGAGCUGUUGAUUAGGGAUUGACCUUGUGAGCGGGGAAAUUUCAUCACUGUUCACUGAAAAUUUUGAUUGCUUUGAUAAUCAUUCAUUGAGGCUGAGCAUUUAGUUUCACAGCAAAUACAAAUUUAAGCCAAAUGUAGCGUGAUUUAGUCAUAGCAUUUCAAAAUGUAGAUAUAUAAUGCCACAGUGGCACUCCCUAGCACACAAGGCAUUUUGCAUGGGUAUAGUUACUAACACGUUUUUCUCCUUUGACGACGACCUUAGAUAAUAUACGCUAUCAUAUUCCCUCAAAAGUUAAGCGUAUCUAUGCAAAUAAAAAAUUGUGCCAGAGGCUUGUCAUGCAUGCAACUUAAUUUACCGUCCGUGUUUGUUGAAAUCCGAGAGUGAGAUGUUCAAACUUCAUAAUUCUAAUUUGUUUGCUGAUUCAGUUGAAGUGUUUUUUGAUGCAAGUUUUAUUUGUGUGUUCGCGAUAGUAAGCAUGAUGCCGCUGAAGAUGAAGCUGGAAAUGGACGCGGGUUCAGAAAACUAUUCAAUUUUACCGAGUAACAAUACUGGCGAACAGAUUAAAUCUGCUCUGUGAACUAAUUAUAGAGACAGAAAGCAACAAACUUUUCCCCCUUUUUCCCCCAUCAAACUGUAGAUUAGAGGAGAAUAAAAAGAUUAAUUAAAAUACUUUGAUGGAGGAAAAAAAUAAGAACCUUCCCAAAAAAGAUGAAUCACUUUUUCGAUUUGACACGGUGAUAAAAGAUGAGAUUCCAGCUCUAAACGCCUGUAGGAAUCCCUCAAAAUAACAAUGUGAUGAUUUACAGUGUAAUGCUUUAAAAAGAAUAUGGCAAUUUUUCCGCUGUAAAUCCAUGAAACCAUAUGAAGCUGAAGAUUGGUCGACUCUUUCAGGUAUACAGCGUAAAUUUCGCACCGUAAAGUCUUUGAUAAUAUUGCAAUCAGUUAUAACCCACAUUACAAUUACGAAGUCCACGAAGUCCACGAAAUUUCGCACCGUAAAGUCUUUGAUAAUAUUGCAAUCAGUUAUAACCCACAUUAAUUUGCCAUAAUAGAUAGUUUGUCCUCAGCGUUUCUUGAUCUCAAAGGAAUAGUCGAGUUCCAGAUGACAUCUCUUGUCAUCAUCUUCAAACUGCAAGGAUUGAUAAGAAAAACUCAGAACAGUCUAAGGAAAAAGAUGAACUCCAGGAAAUUCAAGAAGUGGCUACAUAAAACUAAGCGUAACGAAUGUAUGCCUUGAGUUUUGCCGAAUAAUUUCCUCGGGCAAGCACGCCAGAUGGAGUAGUCUCCUCUUCCAGCAAAUGCUCGUAAGGGGCCCGUUGAGGAGCGAAUGUUCCAAGCAUUCCCUUACUUUCAUCGACUGAGAAAUAAAAAAAAAAAAUAGUCAGAAUGCUGAGGCUCUUACCCGCCCACGUCCUUCAAAAGGAAUUUCUAGAGUAUCAGUCCACAAUAUUUUAGUAGAUUCAAAUCAGCAUCUCUCUCUUUCUCCUUUUUCUUUCUUUCUACAGCCCUAAGUGCACACUUUCAUGAUGUGAUGUUCAAAUCUCCGGACUCCCAACAGGAGAAAAGAAACCUCCGGACUCCCGACAAGAGAAAAGAAACAAUUACGCCAAGGAGGAGAAAAAAAUCUUUGCUAGAAAUGAAUUGCGAGUUGCCACUAUACCUGUGAUGAAGCUUUUGGCUUCUACACAACCAGGUCUCAAUAUACUAAUUAUCACCUGGUAGAUCCAAUGGGAAAAUAGACUGAUCUGUAUAAAUGUAAUCAAAGGAAAGAGAAACCCACAGCCAAAGAGUAAGGCCUCAGGUAUAAACCGAAAGCAGAAGUCAUCCCCUCUCAUUGAUUGUAUUGUCCGCCUUCUCCUACCUAUGUUUAACGAUACUAACAGGACAAAGUUGGGUUGCAAAAUUAUGAAAAGAAUUCACGGAGCAGAUCAUGUUUAUAUGAUACCUUCCUGGAAGUCAAAUCCUUAUUUCAUCUUGUAUUUCUGGUAUGACUUGUCAUGGUGCAAUCAUUUAGGACGUGAAAUAUUAAUCGUGUACUUUGAGUCUAUAUAGCAGACACAGUUUAUUGAUCUCUUAUUCAGCUAGGUUUUUCAUGGCAAAAUAAAUGGAAAAAAAGAAACAAAACAAACCUCGGAGCCCUUUCUUCCAGACUCUGUUUACGUAAGCUAGGCCAGAGACUAUAUUAUGCUUGACACUGAAUGUAAGCUUUAGACGAUACUGGGAUCCCUCCUUUAGAGUGAAAAGAACACGGCUUUGAUUCUCCACAAUCGGCAAGGGCCUAACAAUUUCCGCACAGCCUUCGGAUACAAUUCCUAUAGAGUGAAAUAUAACUUCGGGGUCCAUUUGGCCUGCUGAAACAAAAGGAUUUAACUAAUUAAACGGAGUCAUAUAUUAAAUUAGGCCGCAUAAAGACAAAAAGUGGGAAGGGGACAGGAAAUAUAACCAUUUAAUUCUCCAUCGAUACAACCAAGCAGCUUCUCCUUCCACCUCCUCAAACUCUCAUCAUCCUGCAUAUAUCAUUGGUAGUUCAAGUUAAUAACAAUCUCUAAAGCAUUCUAUAAAAGAUAGAGCAAAGACACUAUCAAUUGCUUGGAUGAAUAGCAAGAUAACUAUUUGAUCUCACUCAUUUUGCAACAAAGAAAAGGAAAUUCGAUGAAAUAAAUCUGGUUAGCUUUGACAUUUCGUUGUUCCAUAGUAGGCUAGAAGCAAAGUUCGGUUAAGACACGGAAAACACCACUAACUCACGUGGAUAGCUGCAUAAUUAUUAGGAACUAAUUUUUCCUUCCUACUUUGGAUAGUGGCCUGAUUGCAACAAACAUUUUACUCCUAAUCAUCGAAAUUUCCGAGACUUUCAUAAACUAGGACACAUUUUUUGGAAAGAAAAGACGACGAUUAAGCUCAUUCAAAAAUCCGAGAAGUUUCCAGCCCACAUACACUCACGCCCCGAAAAAAAAAAAAAAAUCACCACUACCUCUGCCAAUAUUUAAGAACAUCUUGAUUCUAAUACAGGAAGUAAAUAAUCAAAAAGCAAAACAAAUUUACUAAAAUGUUAGUCAAUAAUCUACAGAAUUAUUAUCAGAUCGUACUCAUGUAGCACUUAAUGGUACUGUUCUUUUUCGAAUGAACAAACUCUCAGCAGCUAAAGAAGCUUAUAUAAUUCAGCAUUUCCACCAAAGGUGAAAAAAAAACAAAACAACAACAACAACAACAACAACAACAACAACAACAACAACAACAACAACACAACAUCAGUGAAACCCUAAAAUCAGAGUCAAUGCAAGUAAAAUAACAGAUACUCAAAAUAAUAAAUAUCAGGAUCAAGUAACAAAGAAUAACCCACAACAGCAUGGAGAGUCCACAAAAUCCCAGAAACGGGGGAAACAAAAACCCAUCUGAAAUAUAUAUCAUACCAGAACACCAUUACGCAACAAAUACCACGUCUAAGGAAGAAACCCGUUAAUAGAUCACUCAAAAAUAGCACUAAGAGUACUACAGAUGCUGAAAAAAUGAGCAAAAUAAGCAGAUCGGGACCUUAUCUUUCUCCAACUGCUCCUUGAGAGAGAUCAGAGGCCCGGGAACGAACCCAUCAACCCCAUCCUCCCUAUCGGUCACCACCUCCUCAUCAUUAUCGUCAUCACCAUGAUCAUCAUCACCACCACGCCCAUCCAACACCUCCUCCUCAUCGAUCCCCCGCUUCUUCUCCUUCUCCUCCCCUGCUUCGCCAUUGCUUCCCCCAGAGGCCGCGGAUGGAUCCUUUGUAGCCCCCGGAGACGACGAGCUCCCCGCUUCCCCUCUCCCGACCCCCUCCAUCGAUACCCAAAAACCUUCCUCUUCGAUCGAAAUCGAGGAGCGUUUCUUCUUAGUUACUGUUUUUAGUGUGUGAGGGUGAGAAUGAGGAAUGUUGUGUAUACGCUAAGACAAUUAUUUAGUACAAUUAAUUAAUAGCGACAUUUCCUUUUUCUUUUUCUUUUUCUUUUUUUUUUUUUGGUCGGUGUCGGCGCGCGGGAAGAGUGUUUCCAUGGGGAUUUUUUUCACUUUAAUCCAUUAAAACUUUAUAAUUAGACACUCAUGUUGUUCUAUAAAAUUAAUUAAAAAACGGUUAAUCAUCUAACCCCUUUAAUAAAAUUUAGAAGACGGUGAAUAAUUUUCUGUCUUUUUUUUUAUUAGAGACGGUAAAUAAUUUAUUGUCUUUUUAUUAAAGUAUAAAAAAUGGAUGAUUUAUUAUUUUUUUUAUUUUCAUAUAUAAUCUUAAUAACUAUAUAUAAAAAUUUCAACAAAUCACAUAUAUCUUAUAACUUAAAAUAUUUUAACAACUUAUUUACAUAAUUUUAACUAUAAAUAAAAAUUUAAUAAUUCUCAUAUAAUUUUAACAAUCUAAAAAAAAUUCUCACAAUAUAUAUUAAAAAAAAAUAACAAUAUGAAAACGGCGAAUGAUUCACCACCUUCGAAAGACGGUGAAUGAUUCACCGUUUUUCUCAGAUUAAUUAUCCAAAUAAAAUUUUUAAAAAAUUAUUUGAUAAAUUAAAAAUUUUAAUAAAAUUAGUGUGCAAAAAGUCCGUUUCCAUGUGAGCCCCCACGAACUGGGGAAGUUCGUGGCUACACUGUGGGCUAUGCAACGCGUGCAUAUGUUUUCCGUAGAGGCAAGGGUUGAGUUGACCCUUCGAUGUUUAGACGAUUCGAGUCGUGGUUCGUACAAUUUAAUUCUUUUUUAACAACUACUGCUUUAUCCAGCAGUUGUUAUUUGAGUUUCUGUGUUUUCUGGGUCGAGGUCUACAGACGAACUCAAACAAAGGAAAAAAAAAAAAAANAACAACAACAACAACAAACAACAUUUUGAUUUCGUAGAUGUUUGCAAGGAAGAGUGAACUUUGACUAAUUUGACUUACAUGGUGUUGAUUUUAGAGAGAAAAGGCAAUAUGAGAUUGGAUACGUUUUUGUUCGCAACAAUGACUCCAAUGAUUUGAUUUUGAGAAAAUUGAAAACGGAUUUAGUAAUACAAGAGUCCGGAGUUGUUAAUUGGAAUAGAAGGCAAAAGGAAAAGCUUUCCGGCCAGUUUGACACCUAUUCUUUCUUCAUCUCAAGAAGUAGAAGCUUAGUUAAAAAUAUCAGUAAGCUAUAAUAAUUUAGGAAUAAUUAUCUAUAUACCAUUCAAAACUUCAAAAAUUCUUCAUUUACCUUUACUUUUUUUCUUUCCAAUAUACCCCUCGCAUGUUCCUCCGUUAUUUCAAAAUACCGCUGCAGUAACCACCGGUUAAGUUAACUUGAUUAAACGUGAGUUAAAUAUCAACCACAGUUAAAAAAAAAUUAAAAUACUACUUUUAUUCUUAACUUAAGAACAAAUAAAAAAUAUUGAUGAUGAUAAAAAACUAUAUUUGAAAAGACCAAAAAGCAAAAUACUUUUUAUACUCCUAGCUUAAGGACAAAUAAAAAAAAUCAAUAAUGAUAGACGGGUAUAUUUGAAAGGACAAAAUAAUAAUUUCAUAAAAAUAAUAAAAUUAAUUAAUAGAUUUUAACUCUAAAAAUAUAUUAAAAAUAGGUUGAAACGUAAAAAAAAUAUUUUCAAUAUUAGCCUUCUAAAGGAGGUAAAUCAAAAAAUUGAAAACUUUUUAAAAAUAUAUAAGCAAUUGCCNCAGAGCACAUUAACAAUGUACAAAAACAACAUCAUGAAAACAUGAAGCAUUACUCUUUUUCUUUUUGGUUUUUUGUUUUAAACUAAAAACUUAGAAAACCCAAUGUCACCUGACCAUGAUAGACAGGAUGAGAGAGGGGUUGAAACUGGACCUGGAAAGCAGAAAAUAAAAGCGGCUUUAGCCUGAGAGAGAGCACCUGAGAAAAGCCUGCUUACCUACUGUGGUCAGAGAGCAGUAACAUUGCUGCUGUACAGAGCUUUGCAGAAGCCAAAACCACUCUGUCUCCAAAGAAGCCAUUUUCUCACCUGCUUUCCCCAACCAUUGUCUGUAUCCACAACUUUACAGCAGGUAAAAGAAAAUGAACACUAAUUAUACCACAAACCAACAAAUAAGACUAUUCAUAGCAAUCAUGGUAAACGGAAAUCUUUUUAUAUGAAAAGAAAAAAAGUAAUGGUGAAAAUGCACUUUGAAUUCAAAGCAAAUGCAUCAGUGAGAUCAAAAAGAGGCUCGGCAUGAACAAUGGAAAGACAUAAAAUUAAAUCUUCAUAUAGAAAGGCAUGUUUGCCCUUCACCACAGCAUGUAUUCGCAGGAUACAGAAUGAGGUAUGCCCCCACAACACAGAUAAUCGGCAGGCAUACCUAGCAUUAUCAGAGGACUAAAGUUGAGUUUUCCAAAUAUAAUGAGACUAAACAUAACAGUCACAUAUAAUACAGGGAGCAUCAGAGUAAAAACCACCUAUCGCUUUGUUAGUCAACAUGGAGAGUAGAGAGGGGCGGCAAAGACCACCACCACUGCACCCCUGCCCUCCUUUGAAAACCCUAAGCAGAGAGAUUAAAUGUGCUAGUUAAAGACCAGAGACAGUUCUGGCCUUCAAAAGUCCCCCACUUUCACCCAUUCGUAACGGCCAGGGAGCGGUUUUUCACUCACAGGAUCAAAGUUGUACCUGAAAACACCAUUAGUACGAAGUUGACUAAUGUUUUGUGAAAACAAAUUACAAGAAGCAAACUUUAUUAAUUAUGCCAGCUAUAACUGCAGAUAUAAACACCAAAGAAUCUUCACUAUGUUAGAAAUGGUACAGAUAUUGGAGUAUAUCUGUCAAAUUGACCGACAAGAGCCACAGCUUCAGCGAAAGACCAUGCAUGGGUUUGCCCCAGCUGGAGCUUCUAUAGAACACUAUUAUUUGAGUAAGCAAGCCGUUUGAAAAGACACCAAUAACUUUCCCAUUAAAACCCUCUCACAGCCUAAUGCUGCAACAGAAUCAGAAAUUUUAAUUUGGCGCUUCUGCUUUUGAGGACCAAAAGUUCGUUUUAGCUUCCCAUAAUAACAAAUGUUCAAGACUUCCAGUGUGCCAAAAACAUGAAUGCUGCUUCUCAGUACCCAGGCAAAUGGGGAAAAGGACAACCUUGAGGAGUAAAGAUGAGGAGAUAAUAAAGAGAGCAAACAAAGGAGAAGGUACAUACUUUUCUCUGAAAGCUUUCUGUUGGCUUUGCUCAUUAUUAGCAAAGAGAUUUUCAAUAUCUUGGGAAUAAGGUAGGUCUCUGGACACCGCACCCGGUGCCCUCCUCAAGGAGGUAGAUGAAUAUGUAGGUCUGUUUGAAGAACCAGGAAUCUCUAUAGCAUCCGGAUCCCUUAUCAGACUGGAAGGUGUGCUCUCUCUCGAAUUCCUGCACAAGUAUAAAGAUGUAAAAAAUCUUUGGAAACAGAUAAUUAGUGCACGAGUUCUCUAUCAAAUUUUUUCUGAUAAAGUAUGGAGUAAACUAAGUAAUAUACUCGCAUUAAACUGCAUGAACUCCUGAUCACAAAUUAUUCUCUGAAUAAUUAAGACCAUGCCCAUACCAAACAUGUAAUCCAAGAAGCGGCUUCACCACUUUAGCCGUUGACCAUAUCCAACAACUAGAAAUGGGUCUAUUAUAUACUGUCAAGUACUCUUUGAAAAGAAAUAUGUCUCCAAAGUGACAACAAUCAAAUGGUUGUCCCCAAAUUCAACUAAAACUUCAAGUGCAUUUUGUGUGUGCAACAUCAUCUACUGACAAAAUGAUAACAUCCACUAGCCAAAAAUAAGUCCUAGUACCAAAGGCAUAAUCCAUAAUCAAGCUAUCAAGACAAACGCCUUCAUUAUUAACGACAGCCUAGUAAUCUCCUUAGCAAAGAUAACCAACUGCAAAAAGACAAUGUACACUAGAUAAGGGACCUGAAUUGGAAAUAAAAGUUAAUAUGCUGCAGAAGUUUUCCUUUUUUUUUUUUUUUUUUUUUUUGACAUAACAUGCUAAAGAAGAUUGUAGUUUUACAUGUUUCAAAAAAAUAACAAGCAGCAAAUUUUACAGAAAAAAACACGAUAGAAAAACUUUCAAUGAGGUUAGAUACUGCAAAAGGGUGACUUAGAAUUAUAUUUUAUAAGGACAGAAAACCUAAAUGCCAGUGUGGGAGUUAUGGAGAUGUAGAGACCCUAAAUUGCUUAUUUGUUCCUUUCAGGAUAGUAAUAUUGAUAAAACUACAUGACUAGAGAACAUUAAAUAAGUAUAAGUUCCUGCUUGGCCUGGCUCAUAAAGCUACUCUAAUUCAGGAGCAGAAGCAAGAGAUUUGCAACAGCAAGGUAUACAGCUUUUGGCCCGAGAAUUAAACGGAAAUCAGUUUCUAAACCACCAAAAGCAAAAGCUCACAAUUUAGAGCUCCUACUUUUAGCUUGUCAAGAAGCUAACAGGGAAUUCUAGAGAAAGAACUGUUUAUUGGUCCCUUUAGCAUGUCGAAAAUCUUUACAUGGAAACUUCUGCAAAGGCUCUAGAUGACUGAAAUAACCCCUACAUCACAAAGUAGAUGUGUAGAUUGUUUAUGGAUAAUGUAAAAGUGGUUAUAUUUAUAUUUUAGCCUACUUGAAAAAGUACAAGAAUAAAUUUCAUAAUCGUCAUAUUUAGAACAAUCAACUCAUAAAGAAAAGAACAGACAUGAAAAGCGAACAUGAAGUUGGGAAAGAAGGGGUAUUUAAUUCAGGUAUUGUCAAAAAUAGUAAAACCCCUGGCAACCAUAAAUGACCAUAACCCUCAAGUACCCAUUUCACUGAAUAACAGCAAAUCUCCACAUUAUAAUAUUACUAGUUGUUUAAUCAGUUGGGAUAAUUUCUGAAAGUGACAACUGCUAUAGAGAAAGUAAUAUUGCGAAGGAUUUUUUUUUUAAAAAAAAAAGACAGUGAAAGAAGUGAAAAGUGGAAACCAGAAGAAUAUAACAGAAAACAGAAAAAUGAAAUAGAAAAGGCAAUGUGAGGUAGCAGAAGCUUGUUAUUGCUUUUUGUAUCAAAGUUCAUAUAAAAUUAAAUUCCAAUAUUAAUCCAUUAAUAAACAAAUGACUUUGUCUUAGUUUCAGCAAAGCAUCCUAUGAGCCAGAAUUCAUGAAAACUAGGAGCAAAACCAAUAAUGAGAUGUAUAAUGAGUUACACAAAAAGAAACUUCUUUUCCUCUCCUCAUCCCCAAAAAGCCCACUAUCAAACAUAGAGAUAAAAUCUACUGUAAAAUAGCAGGGGAAAGAAAAAUGUGACACAAGCCAAAGCACAAUAAGUACGUGUAAGCAAGUAUAUCUGAAAAAUGAAUUGGAAACCCCAAAGUAUGAUGAGAAUAUGGAAUAGAUUAAAGAGGAAUACUCGAAAAAAAAAAAGAAAAUUUCGUAAUCACCGUCAGAGCGCGAAUGAUGGUUUGAUCUGAAAAAUGAGCUCUCUUUCAAAAACAGAGUAUACAAGGUUGUUCAACUGCGAAGCUUUAAUUUGCAAAUACAAGGAGCUCCAAUAUAGUAAUUGGUUUACGAAUACUAAGUUCCCAAUUCCUGAGAAUCGAAUAAGAUAGAGCAAAAUUGGAAGCUCAUACUUCUACCAAAGAGAGGUCUAUAUCCCCAAAAUUACCCUAAAAAGAACAAUUUUGAGCGAGAAACAAACCCUAGAAAGAGCAUACGAGAAAUGAAACCCUAAAUUCGGAAAAUUUCGAACGAAAAACAACCUGACACAUUCGAUCUCCGCAGCAUUAUCCCCAAAUGAAACCUCUACGCCAGCGUCGAUCCCCGGCGAAGCCCCCGAACCUUCGUCCUUCUCCUCCUCCUCCUUCCCCCCCAAGCUCGACAUGCCCCCAUCUUCCUCCAUCUUUCUCGGCUCGCUCUCCACUUCGGGACCCAUACUCGCGCUAGGGCUUCCAACUGCAGCAGGUUUCGUCGGGCUAGGGUUAGCCUCACUCUUCACCCUCUCCCUCCGGACCGUCCCCGUCGCAGCGGCGGGGAAGCGCUUCUGGAGGCGGCGGCUCCGGAGCUCGAGGUACGAAAACGCGGAGGGGUCGAGGGCUCCUCCCUGUUGGAGGCGGCGGAGGGCUAGGGUUUUGGCCCGAGUGAGGACCCCUAAAGAAGAACCCUUGUGGGCGGCGAGCUCCAUGACCCCCAGAUCGCCUGGGACUUUCUCCUUCCUCACGAACUUGCCCAUGUCCACAAAACCCUAAUCCCCCAAUCUCCUCUACUCCUUAGGAUCGUCUCAUAUAAGGGGUUAAGGAAGAGUGGGAGAGAGAGAGAGAAAGGAGCAGCGUGGGGAGUACAAAUGGCGAAAGAGAAGAGGAGAACGAAGCGUAGUAGGGAUCUCGGAGAGAGAGAGAGAGAGAGAGAGAGAGAGAUGAGGCCGUGAGGAGGUGGUGAUGUAAGAGAGAGAGAAAGAGAGAGAGAGAGAGAGAGAGAGCGAUGGGGUACCUGAAAAGCAUAGGAGAAGGAGAGUAGUGGAAAGUGAAAGACGAAUUUACUUCUCGUCGAAUCAAAACACAACACUUGGACCGUGAAAAUGACUUCCAAAUAAUGCCCACUGUAACUUGGAGUAAAAAUAUGAAAGGCCAUUUUGCAUAAAAAUAUUCAUAAAUUUUAAGGUUUUUUUAAAUUGCAUCAUCUUUUUUUUAUUUGUAAAUUUAGUAUGAUUUUUCAGCAAAUUGGUUUUUUUUUUCUCUCUUUUUUUUUUCUCUUUUUCUUUUAUUUUUUCUAUACGAAAAGGUAGCAGAGAUGGAGGUGGCUCGUCUCUGUCCUGCACACCCUCGCACUCUACCGCACCCGCACCCCCCGCCUUCUUUGCCUGCCACAUGGCUACCUUUUUUUUUUUCUCUCCAACCCUUCUGCAUCUCCUCCACAGCUUUUUCUGAUGAUAACAAGAAAGGUAGCGCGUUUUCUUCCUCCAUCUUCGCCAUUCACUUUUAUUGCAGUAGAUUUUGCACCCACCAAAUCCACUUCUAGAAAUCCACGUUCCCACCAUCACCGCUAACGAUAAAAGAGGAAGCAUUUCUCGGUGCCAAAAAUCUCGUUAGCAAGAGAGGGGGCACGCGGCCUACCCGCCUACUCCAGAGGGCAGCCGCGAGCGCAGUCUCGGAGGCGAAAAAGGCGAGGGAUAGAUAGGCGCAUCUCUGAAUUAACACUUUUGUUUUUUUUUUAAAAAAAAAAUAACUAAAGGCCAAAAGUAGAGAAUAAUAAAGAAAAAUUAACUAAAUGCAGUGGAGGAGGGUCAGAGAGAAAAAAAGAGGCGGCAAGGUCGGAGGCGAUGAGGGCAGGGGGUGCGGGGAGGUCAAGGGCUAGAGUGCGUGGGGCAGAGGCGGGCUACCUCCUCCUCCGCUGCCUCUCCGGCGAUAUAAAAAAAAAAAAAAAAAAAAAAAAAAAAAAAAAAAAAAAAAAAAAAAAAAAAAAAAAAAAAAAAAAAAAAAAAACACGAGAGAAGAAAAUGAGAGAGAAAAAAGAAUAAGGGUAUUUUGGACAGUUUGUUAAAAAUUCGGACUAAAUCUGCAAAAUCGAAAAAUACGGCUUAGUUUUGCAAAAAUUUAAAACUAGUGAAUUUUUUAUGCAAAUUGGCUAAUAUUUACCCAUAAAUCAUACAUAGCAUUCAUCAGAUAAAAUUAUUUAUCAUAUUUAUUUGAUUUGUAAAAAAAAAUUACUAAUAAAAUUAAGGUGGUGUACGAUAUAUACAUAGGCCAAAAAAAUUUGUGUAAAUGAAAUUAUUUCUUCAAUUAAGAUAAAUAUUACUGCACACUCUAAAAAAUUGUAUAUUCUAUACAUAUAAAUCUUAACAUAUAAUUUUUUUAAAAAAAUUAGUAUUUAAAAAAUUAAUAAUAUAAGAGUAUUUUGGGUCCAUAAACGAGGGGGUAGGGUGUAAAGAUAACAAUGCACUUUGUCAAUGCUUUUCUAAAAAAUUUUAAUUUUAUAGAUAUCCCUUCAAAUUAAAACUAAUUAUUAGUGUCUUUAUAAAUAUUAAAGAAUUUAGGUUUGUACUUUGGAUUUGGAAUUUAGAGAGGCAUUUGUAAUAUAUUUGUUUGUUAUAGAGGGAUAUGAAUGAUAGAUUUAUGUAUUGAGUUAUAAUUAUAUUUCAGAUUUAGAAUGGCAUUUUAUGAUAUUUUGAAGCUCUAGUAAAUUAUGCUUGAAAUUAUUCCAAUAAACUUUAGAAAUUAUAAAAUAAAAAUAUUGAAGUAUUAUAUAGUGUGAAUAUAUUUAUAAUUUGAGAUUACGGUAAACAUGUGGUUCAAAAGGAAGACAAAAAAAAAAAAUCAGAUCGAAGAAAGAGAAUAGUUUUAACUGAUAUACAACAAUACGUUAAAUGUAGAUUAUUUUUACAAAAUAUUAAAAUUUUUAAAAAAUAUAUAAAUUACUUAAAAAUAUAAAAAGAAUAUCAGUUAUCUGUAUGGUUUUAAGCAAUAUAUACUUAGUAUUUAUUUAUUUUCUUUUAGAGUAAAAAUUAUUUGGAAAACUAUGAGCUAUUUUGAGAAAACAAAAAUUAAAAUGCUACGUGCACGACAAACGGCCCCAACCCGACUCGUUCGACCGCACCCAACAUUCGAAUCUUCGAGACAUAAAUCCCCGCGCCGCGAAGUCUCUAGGGGGGUUUGGGUUCGCCGCUGAACCAUCUCCUAACCGGACACGUGUCAAGAAUCCCAGCGACUAGUAGCUUCUAGAAGUUCCGUUCGUAGUUGCCGCGGCGCUGACCCACCACCCUAAAACGCGGAAAAUCUAAAAUGCGCCGUGCUUCGAAAGAGCGGGAAUCGAGCGGCCACGCGCAUCGCGCUCGGAGAGCCGUAGAUCGCACCAACGGAAUCAAUCCUACCCGUUCGUUUUCGUAACGCUCUCCUUUAAAAAGGGCUCCUCCCCCUUUACGGUUUCUCGCAUUUGCGAAUUUUUUUUGUCCCUUUUCCUCCCCCCUUUUUUUUUUUUAACACAAUCGAAGCUCGUCUCUCUUCGAUUCAGGUUUGAUUUAUCCUUUCUUUUUUUUUUUUUCUCUCUCAAUGGUGCUAUCUUAUUUUUUUUCCUAUUUUUUUUGUUGUUUUAGAUGCUGUUUUGGAUGUGAUUUGUCGCUUUUGUCCCUUUUUAUAGAUAGUUAUUUGGUUAAUUUUCUCAAUAUCGAUUUAAAAUCCAAUUUUUUGAUGCGACGUGAUUCUAUUACUCAACGUGGUUUUCGUUGAGGUUCUUAAUUUAGCACUUUUUAUAUAUCUAUAUUACCUUUUUUGUUUUUGGUUUAUUCCUAUGUUUGUACAGCAUAGAAUCAUUUAUUGCUAAGUUCCUAAUAAAUAUUCGCUAUUUCGAUUGUAGGGUGUUGCUGAGAAAUCUCUUACUUUUUCUUAAGAAUCCAAAAAAAAAAAAAGAUUAAUCCAUAAUUGCUGCUGUAGAGUAAUAAGCAACAUGGCAGAGGUAUGUAUGAUGCAUGCUUUUCUAUUUUAUUUUAUUUUAUUUUAUUUUUUUGGUUGUAGUUAUUCCUCAGGAACUAACACAUUAUUCGGACGACCGCAUAUACGUAGAUAUGUAUAUUUAUGUAUUUAUGUUUCUAUAAAUUAUAUAUUAUAUAUUUUGCAGGAUGGGCACAGAGUCACUUUGAAUGUGUAUGAUCUUAGCCAGGGGCUUGCUAAGCAGCUAUCAGUGACAUUUUUGGGCAAGACCAUCGAAGCGAUUUGGUAAGAUGUUGCUCAAUCUGUGCGAUAUUCGCUCUAUCGACCCCCUCUAAGAAGAAGAAUACUUCUUUGCGCCUUUUGAAUUAUAUUUACUUGAAUAUAUCCUACAAAAGCCAAAAAUUUUAGCUAAAUGUUUUAUGGGACAAUGACUGGGUCUUUGAAACAUUUUAUAUGUUUUUAUCUAAUCAUAUUUUUGUCCUUUUUUCUUCUUUUUAUAUGUACAAGGGAUGUUUCCUUCGCACUCUCGGUGCCGAUUCGGUAAAUGAACAAUCUAGAUUUGGUACAUAAUUGUUGGUAAUGUAAAGUGACAUACGGGUGCCACGCGGUGCUUCUCAUGAACAUAAUUUUUGAAAUCGCGCGAAAUGUAUUAUACUAGUUAUUAUGCGCAUUUAUGAGUUAGUUGUGCUGUCCAUAAUACACUUUUUCGGAAAGUGAAAUUGUCUACUUGCCAUGUUCUUCUCAUGCAAAUUUGUUGAUUACAGUAAUUUGAGGUGUCAAACAUUGUUACUCCAAUUGAAUUACAUCUUAUUAACUACCAUAUGCCACAGGGAAACAAUUUUGGCUUGUUGAUUGUGCUGUAACUUUAUACAGGCAUACUGGUGUUGUGGUAUACGGAAACGAGUACUACUUUGGGGGAGGCAUCCAACAUGCUCCCGCCGGAUCGACCCCAUAUGGCUCUCCCAUCCGGGUUAUCGAGCUCGGGAUAACGCAAGUGCCCCAAGAGGUUUUCGAGGAUUUCCUGCAGGACAUUAGUUCUCGAUACACCGCAGAGACCUACAGGCUUCUCAGCCACAACUGCAACAACUUCAGCAAUGAGGUCGCGCAAUUCUUGGUGGGCACCACGAUCCCAGAUUACAUCCUCAACCUCCCCAAUGAAGUUAUUUCUAGCCCGAUGGGUCCUCUGAUAUGUAAGUAUGAUCAUAUGUUUACUAUCUUUUCCUCACCAAGUACUCGUUGAUAAUAUAACUAAAUAUGCUCCAAAAGCAAUUCUUGGUUGCUUAAAUUUUUAGACAAUUUUUUCUAAAAAUAUUUUUCCCCACAGCAUGGUAUCAGAUCCUGACUUGUGAGCUCGAAAUCCUCAAUGUCUAAUCAAAUAUUUGAUUUAGAAAACAAUCCUACUUAGUUCAAGGGUAUAGAAGUGUGGAAGUCCCAUUAAUUUCCCGAUACUUCAAUUUUGCUCUUGUACAAUAAACAGAUAGGGAUGAGAUUAAGUCAUGUACCUAUUGAAGUGAAAAAUUCAGGGAGUAAUUUGUGUUUUAUGAAUUACGAAGACUAUCCUUGUAUUUAAAUUUUUGUGUCCUGGACCUCUUUAAAUUCUCAAUCUUAAUUUUAAGAAGACUAAUACACUUUUCUAGUCGUUUGAGCUGUUACAAGAUGUAGUUUUCCGAGUCUCUUCAUGUAUGUGCAGUACCGAUGAUUCAACAGCUCGAGGCAACCUUAAGAGCCGGAGCAGUUCCUCAGCCGCCUCAGUUCCAACCUUCGCUUGCUUCAAGAGCUCAGCCUUCUGUUCCUUCCACCAUCCUUGUAAACCCGAGAAAACUUGCGAGCUCUGAGGACAAAAGCGGUGAUUCCAAAAUCUCAUCACAUCCUCAGCUUCCGGAACAAGCCAAAGCAGUCCCAGCUGCAGCUGAAUCUAUCAAACUCGAGAAGGAGAAGCAGCAGCCACCUCCUGCCUCCGAUCCUCUCGGGGCCGCACGGAGCAAAGUACAGGAAGAGAUCAUGAGGGAAUUCAGAGCUAUAAUGGCGGCUGGAGACAUGCACGCGAGCGAGGCUGCGGCGCUUGCGACGAGGAGGGUUAUGGAGAGGUAUGGGCGGUUGGACGCCUCGGCCAUGCAGCAGGCAUGAACAGGAUUUGCCAUCCCCUUCUAUUCUUAUUUCUCCUUUUUUCUUUGAGAGAUCAAAGUGUGCUACUUUCAUGAUUGAGAGAAAUUUCUCAAGGCAUUUACUUUUAACUGUAAAACAGCAUAUUCAACAAGUGUAAAAUGUUUCAGUGUGCUUUGCUUAACUAUGGUGCUUGUCAUUGUAGAACAGUUUAUACAAGAAGCGAAAAAUGUUUCAUAUAUGCGCUCUGUUUAACUAUUCUGUGUGGUGUGUGGAUAUUCUCUGCCAGUUUAUAUAUGAGUCCAGCAGUGCAGCGUGAUGCACGAUUUAACAGUAGUACAGUGAGUGUCCGAAUAUGCAAAUCAUAACAAUUAUAAUUAUUUUUUCUUUAUAUCAGAUUCGUUCUGCCGCCACUGACGAGUGCAAAUUUUUUUAAAAAAUUCAGACUCAUUUUGCGGCUCUUCUCCACAAUAUUUAUUCUAUCUGAUAUGGUUCCAUCAAUAUUUUAUGCAUCCGAUCGGCCUCGGAUAGUUGAUGCGACAUCAAUAUUUUUGAAAUUUAAAUACUAAUACAAUAUUUAAAUCUUACAUAAAAGACGGAUAUCAUAUUUAAAUCAUAAGAUAGCUAUCAGACUGCUGCCACCAGCACUCAGGGUAUGGCUCUCCCCUCCAUUUAUCUCCAAUAAUUUGUGAUUAUUAAUUUCGCUCGUGCAGGUUAUAUUUAUCGUAUUUAGAUAAAAUUACUAAUUAUUUUUUUUAAUAUAAAGUAAUCAGUUCCAACAUCUCAGGCAUUGCUUGAGACGGUAAUAGUAUCAUUUGCAUUUCUUAUUUUUUGUUUUCUUUUUUUUUUUUUUUUACCAUUGAUGUUACUUAAUAGAAAUUGGAGAUAGAGCUCGUGGGAUGAGGGUACCAGCAACGGAAGAAUCGGGCUAAUGCAGAAUCUGAUCAUUCAAAAUAGGCAGCGCUGGUAACGUUCUUCGCAGCAAAAGAACUCUUAGCUUUAGAUUUUUAGAAAUUCAGUGAAUAUUACAGUGCUAGGAUAAUUUCGUUCAAUAAUAUGAUUAAAAACUUUUAAUUUUAAAAGGAAUAAUAUUCUCUUAAUAAUAUAAAUAAUUAUUAAUGAAAUAGAGAGAGUGAGUAUCUAACGCAUUACUGAAUGCAGAUAAAUUUAAAAUAUUUGAUAAAAUUUUUGAAUUAUCCUUGAGAUGUCUCAAACAUAUAUAUAUAUAUAUAUAUAGCAUGAGUAGCAGGCUGUACAGGUUCCACUGUAGAGAAUCCGACCCCGUUGAAAUGUAGACCCCAAUAGUCUGAUGCCACGUAGCAGGUUGUACCAAUUUCACUGUAGAGAAUCCGAACACUGGUGGGCCCAUCAGAAUACCUACUACCAAGUGAACGGCACGUGCGCACGUGUGCCGACCACAGAACCAUUGCCCACCGUCCACUAUUAUUUUCGCCCCCGCUCUCCCUCCAUCUAAGCCGUUGGAUUUCCGAACAGCUGCGUCCCACCAAACCCAACGGAAGAAGUUUCUAUAGGCGCAGGCAUCGCCUACCCACGACCGGCCACGUCAUCGCCUUGAGAAAAUCUGAGCCGUUCGUUGCAGCGCAUUCGGUGUUCUCUUCCCCGAAGACCGUGGUGUGAAUGGUGGACCCAAUGUUCACCGGCCACAAAACGAGAAAUUAAUCGCUGCACCAAGUGCAUCCGUACAUAUAAUGCACCAUUCUCAACCGUGAUUGAUCAAUGUUUUGAAAUUAAUCAAAAAAUUCAAUAAAUAUGAUCUGCAGUAUGUAGAAAGUUCAUAAAUAAAGUAGAAUUUUAAUCUUUUUAUAGGCUUUUUUUAAAAUUCUAUUUAGAUUUUGAGAUCCAGUAUAUGAGAGAUACACCAGGUGCAUGCAACAAACAUUAUCCCGAAAAUCAGCUUGCCGAACAGCAUUACCCCAAUUUUCCUAUAAAAUUCUGCCACGUGUACUAUCGGUAUGCAUUUUAAUUGGUUCAUUUCGCUGCGUGGUGUUAUGGUGUCCGCAUCGCGGGAUCCAUCACAAUCCGGAGCUAAUCAAUUGCACCAAUCCCCACGCCUCCGAGCCUCCACUAGCUUCGGAUCCGAGCCUUCUCGAACCUCCAGGUUCGGAGCUCGAGCCGACGUUCCGAAGCCCAGGCCGCGAGCUCGAAGGCUCGAAGCUCUUCAUUACUCUCUCUCCACCCCCUCCCUCCUCUCUCUCUCUCCUCUCUCUUUCUCUCUCUUCUCCGAGGCGGUGCGAAAACGAAGAGAUAUUAUCGUUGUCAUUGUUGCUCGCGAUAGAGCUCUCCUCCUCCUCCGGAGCCCAGCAAAUGCGCCGCUCCACGAAUUUGAAGCGGUUUACUUCUAAGGUAGGCGAUUUUUACUCUAAUUGUCCGCUAUUUUUUUCCCUUUUGCGAUCGAAUUUGGUGAAUUGGAGUGUGAGAUGUGGUGACAGAGGUGAUAAACAGUGUUUGAUCGAUAAUGUAGGAUGUGAUCCCACUGUUUCUGUUGAUUUUAGUUGUGUAAUUGAGGUCCUCCUCUUACUUCCCUCUAUAAUUGUUAAAUUAUGUUAUCUAUUAUUUGCGAUUUUGUGAAGGAAUGAUGCUAUAGAGAGUAGGGAAGUAGCGAAUUAGUUGUGAGAUUGCUCGAUCGCAGCAUGGCGCAGAGUAAUUGGGAAGCGGAUAAGAUGUGAGUACUGUGUGAAUUUCAAAUUUGGCCUUAUUUUGAUGGAAUUGAAAGUUUCUCUUAUGGUUUUUCCUCUUUUUUUCUUUUGUUUAUUCUAGGCUCGAUGUGUAUAUUUAUGACUAUUUAGUGAAGAGGAAUCUACAGAACACUGCGAAGGCCUUCAUGACUGAAGGAAAGGUUGCUGCUGAUCCAGUAGGUAAUGGAGGAGCUUCUUUGCUCGCAUCGCCGUGCUUAAUGUAUCCCGAGUUUGUUUACUUCAUUGAAUUAUGAGACUUAGGAAAUCAUCUCCUCGAGAAGUAACUUCUGUUCAUUUUCUGCAUUAGUAACAUAUUAUUCUAGAAGUAGGCUAUUAAAGAAUCGUUCACAGUGAUUUCACUACAUACAUUUGGGGAAAGCAGUAGAUGUAAGCAUAACUCGUUUUAAGUUUACGUAUCCAUUAACAAUUCAGCACAGAAAGAACAAAGCUGAUCCAAAGCACGUGGUUUCUUGCAUCUCACGCGUUAAUAAUCUAGUAAGAAAUAAAAGCUCAUCCAAAACAUUAAAUAAACUUAUUUAGGAACUGAUAAAGGUUCAUUACCUUACUGCACAGCAAUUGAUGCUCCUGGAGGCUUCCUCUUUGAAUGGUGGUCUGUUUUUUGGGACAUUUUUAUUGCAAGGACAAAUGAAAAGCACUCCGAGGUUGCGGCAGCGUACAUUGAGGUUGACAUUAUAUACACUCUGUAUCAUUUAUCUUAGUUCCACUUAUUGUUUGUCUUAGUAUUUAACGCAUAUAUCUUGUCGAAACCACAGACACAACAGAUGAAAGCGAGAGAGCAGCAACAGCAGUUACAAAUUCAACAACUGCAGCUUAUACAGCAACGACAUGCUCAACUACAGAGAAAUAAUGCUAAUCAUCCUUCUCUUGGUGGUUCUAUAAAUGCUAUAAACACUGAUGGGAUUUUGGGGCCAUCAACUGCCAGUGUUUUGGCUGCCAAGAUGUACGAAGAGCGGUUGAAGAACCCACACACAAUGGAUUCUGAGGCAUCGCCGCAGCUUCUCGAUGCAAGUAGGAUGGCUCUUCUCAAGUCGGCAGCAACUAAUCAUGCAGGGUGAGAUCUUAUGUUUCGGUAAUUCGGUCCCUUUUUAUCAUAGGUUGCUUAAAUUGUUGGUGUUGCUGAUUUCCGUAUUUCUUAAAUUUCUGUAUGCUAACAGACAGUUAGUCCAAGGUAAUCUCGGCAAUGUGUCCACAACUUUGCAACAACUACAGGCGCGAAACCAGCAGACAGCUGUAACUUGUUACACUUUUGACUUUUCAUUAUUGUGUAUUUAUUCUUACCCUUUUAUUUCAGCAAUGCUAUAUUGGCUGUUUUUUUUUUUUUUCCCUUAUUCUCUUACUUUUCAUAAAAUCAGCAGGAUAUGAAGACUGAGCCUAACCUGGCUGUAGAUCAAAGGUCUAUGCCCAUGGACCCGUCAUCGAUAUAUGGGCAAGGGAUUAUUCAGUCAAAAUCUGGAUUAGCUGGUGUGGGUAAGUUAAUUUCCUGGAUAACAAAAUUAAAAAGCCUUUUUUUAAAGUUAAAUUUCUUCGUAUCCUUGUCUUCGUCAUAAUUGAUUGAGCAUUGAGCAGUAUCUGGUGAAUGCCUUUUGUUGUUAUAAGUGUCAUUGUUGGUUCUUUAGUUCUUUUUUUUUCUUUCAACUGAGAGUUGUAAUGCAAUUGUAGUAGUGAAGUGCAUUAAAUGGAUCGCAACACCCUAGUAGUCCUAGUGAGGUAAGAAUUAACACUGUUGUUGCUGUUGAUCUCUUGGUUGCUAACUUCGCAGGAUUGAACCAAGGUGUCAGCGGCCUUCCUUUGAAGGGCUGGCCACUAACUGUAAGUUCACCAAAUUUCUUUUGCUUCCUUUGUUGUUUGAGCUGACCAUAGCCUGCUGUAUCCAAUUUUGCUUUUCUCUUUCAGGGGAUUGAUCAGUUACGUCCAAAUUUUAGUCCACAAAUGCAAAAGCCAUUUGUAUCAACACAGCCACAGUUUCAACUUAUGUCAACUCAACAGCAACAACAGCUCCUAGCACAGGCCCAAGCACAAGGAAACCUUGGAAGAUCACCCAAUUAUGGCGAUGUGGAUCCUCGAAGAUUUAGAGCUUUACCAAGGGGUCCCACAAAUGGUAAAGAAGGUCAACCUACUGGAACUGAUGGAUCGAUAGGUUCUCCAAUGCAGUCAAGCUCUCCAAAGGUCAGACCAGAGCAAGCUGAAUAUCUCAUGAAGGUUAGUUUCUUCAGAGCUUGAAUGAAUAGAUAUCAGUGACUCUUGAUUUAGAGUGCAUAUUUUUCUAAGUAAAAAACAUAAAUAUUCUUGUAAGUAAAAGCAUACACACUUAACCUGAACAAUGGCGUAUUACUCUUGAUUUAGAGUGCAUAUUUUUGUAAGUAGAGACAUACAUAUUUUGCAAAAACGUACACAUAUCUGUAAGUAGAGACAUACAUAUUUUGUAAAAACAUACACAUCUAACCUGAACAAUGUUGUUUUUUGGAACGUACACUUUUAACUCUGAAAAUUAUGAUUUUACUACCUUACAUUUCAGUUUGUUUAAUUUACCUAACUCUUCUUCAAUGGGAUGUUCUGUAAUCUAACGAGAAUAUCAUGCUACAUAAAAAGAAUUUUCUACGACUUUUUAGGUGGAAAUUGGUAUGUUCUAAUGGAGCUUGACGGAAUUUCCUAAAAUUAGAAGCAAUGCAACGAUAACUAGUAAUAUAAUAACGUCCAAUUUUCAGCUGUGCAUUUCAAAAUGCGCUAUAUUUCAUGUAACAACUGCACAAUUUUACAUUAUUUUUUAGUUUGAAGAGUUAGUAAGAAAACUGAUGCUAAGAUUGACAGGUUUUCUUUGUUGUGUUUUGUUUUUUUCACCUAAAGAAUGUCAACACAUAUAGUUCAUGUACCCUAUUGCAUCGCAUUGAUUUUUGUUAUUAACUUUUGUUUUACUUCUUUGCUUAUUUUGCAUGUAGCUGAAGGUCGCCCAGAUGCAGCAGUCCUCUUCUCAGCAACCCCAGGAACAGAUCCAGCAGCAGCAGCAGCAGCAACAAAUACAACAGGUAUUGUCCUGACUUUUCUCCGCGAAAUCUGGCACUUUAUAUCUCUUCGUUUCCUUGACUCUAUAUUGUUGAUAGUCGUGUCUACUAUCUAAGCUAGUAUUUUUAUUUUUAUUUUCACUUUCGUUUGAGAUUCUAGCCGUCAGAUAUUUAUUUGUUACUAUUUUCAGAAUAAUAGAAAAAGAAAACAGCCUUCAUCAUCAGGAGCUGCAAACAGUACUGGCACAGGAAACACUGUGGGUCCCACCAGCUCUCCUCCAUCAACUCCGUCUACCCAUACAACCGGUGAAGGAGUGGCAGCAGCUGCAAAUAUGCGUCAUGUCAAUAGCAUGCCGAAGAGUUUAAUGAUAUAUGGUGCAGAUGGAACUGGACUUGCUUCUUCUUCCAAUCAAAUGGUAACCUUCUGAACUUACCUCUUUUAGCAUUCUUUCCAUGUGGUUAAAUUUUGUGCUUAUAUCUAAUUCUAGGAUGAUUUGGAGCAUUUCGGGGAUGUUGGUUCUUUGGAUGAUAAUGUAGAAUCAUUCUUAUCCCAUGACGAUGAUGCCAGAGACAUUUUUGCUGCAUUGAAAAGAAGCCCUGCUGAGCACAAUCCAGGGCCGUCAAAGGGUAAUUUGGUACUGUUGCUUUUAAUCUGUGAAAAAUUUCCAAUGGCGCAUGUUUUUGUCCUUUAUUUUUCAGGUUUUACCUUCAGUGAGGUUGGCUCUAACCGUACAAGCAAUAACAAAGUUCUAUGCUGCCACUUUUCUUCAGAUGGAAAGUUAUUGGCCUUUGCGGGGCAUGAAAAGAAGGUACUGUGGUUAACAUUUACUACAAGAUUGAGCUUCUCAGUUACACAUGAAUAAGUUUCUUGCAAAUUUUCAAUUACAACUUGAAGCUUAUAGGAUGAUAUGUGGGUUAGCUUAUUACUUGUAUUUUAUAGGCUGUUCUUUGGAACAUGGAUACUUUUGAAACAGAGAGCACUCCUGUAGAACAUGCUGAUAUAGUAACAGAUGUCCGUUUCAGGCCAAACUCAACACAACUGGCAUCAUCCUCUUUUGACAAAACUGUAAAACUGUGGAAUGCAGCAGAGGUAAUGAUCUCUAUUAUCAUCCUCUUCUCACAAAUCUGAAGCAGUUGACUGCAUUUGCUAUUAUGCAUGCUGUUGGUUUGCUACGAUAUAAAUUUAAUUCACAUAGGUGUUCUUUGAGCUUGCAACUUGUGUACUAAUUAGAUUAAAGUUGCGCUCUACGUCACUUUGUUUCAAUUGGCUAUUUAGAUAAAAGUUGUUUUCCCAUUCACUUUGUUUGAAUUGGCUAUUUAGAUCAAAGUUGUGUUACCUGUUCACUUUGUUCCAAUUGGCAUUACAUUUACAAAUCCCGUUGUUCUUUUCAUCUUCUUUCCUAGUAGUAGUUACGAUGAUUUAUUUUCAAAGUUACCUUCUUAAGAUCUGUAAUUUUCAAAUUCCAUCUGUUGUAAAUCAUCGGAAAAUGACCUCUGUCACUAUCUCCUAGGAAAUUAAAUUGAUCAAAAUUGUUAAAAUCAUUAUUUCAUGUAUCUCAUCAUUAUUAUACACAGCAAAAUGAAGCUUGAUCAUCUUUCACAUGUAACCAAUGGCAGAUCCUACUGAUAUAUCCAACGUACCCUAUAGUGUUGGUUAUUGUCUGACCAUAGUAUUAACUUGCUCCUCUUUUUUGGUUUUUGUAGCCUGGCUACUGUUUGCACUCCUUUACAGGGCAUAGUGGGCAAAUUACAUCACUAGAUUUUCAUCCAAAGAAGACCGAUCUCUUCUGCUCUUGUGACUGCAAUGGUGAAAUUCGAUUGUGGAGUACAAGCCAUUUCUCAUGUUCACGUGUUUCAAAGGCUAGUGAAUUUAUUUAUAUCUUUAUUCAGAGAUAUUAUUCUCUUUUUUUUUUUUGUGCUCUCAAUUGUUAAUUCUACGUAUUUUCUGAACAGGGUGGUACAGUUCAAGUUAGGUUUCAACCUAAUAUUGGCCAGUUUCUUGCCGCUGCUGCAGAAAAUGUGGUGUCUAUCUUUGAUAUUGAACCAGACAGGAAAAGAUAUACAUUACAGGUUUUUUUUUUUAAAAUAGCAUUAAUAGUGUUUUGUGAUAACCUAUAUUUUUUAAUUGAUACUUCUGAACUAUUGUCCUUUGGCUCUUCUACACAUAUAUUCCCGCAAAAUCAUCUAUUGACAUGUAUACCCUUGUUAAAGAAAAAAUAUCAUAUAUGCCCCUUCAAAGAGCAGUUUCUUCUUUAAGUACCCUUAUCUGAAGCCAUCAGUAGACAUUUUUGUCGGUACAAGAGUGUGCCUAUGCUAGAAAUAAAGUUUUGAAUGGCGUAUAUAAAAAUUUAGAUUUUGCAAGAGUAUAUGCAAUAAACUCGAUUUUUUUUUUUUUUUUAAUAAAAAAGUGUGUAUUUACUUUUUUCAUUUUGCCCCUUUUAUUGUUUUAUUUUUUCUCAGGGCCAUGCCAUGGAAGUGCACUCUAUUUGCUGGGAUAACAGUGGGGAGUACCUGGCAUCUGUUAGCCAGGAUUUAGUUAAAGUCUGGUCGAUAUCGACAGGAGAAUGCAUUCACAAUCUAAACUCCAAUGGGAACAAGUUCCAUUCAUGUGUUUUUCAUCCAAACUAUACCAAUCUCUUAGUCAUUGGGGGACAUCAGGUGAUUGUGUUUCUCUUUAUCUGCUGUCGAAAACGUAGUAAAUGACAUAUCUUUUUCGUUUUGACCUUUUUUUUUUUUUUUUUUUCUUAUCAUUUAAGUAUAACUUAGUGCUGUUUUAGUAGUAGUGCUAUUUAGAGGACUAAUAGCUUUUCCAUUAAAAUCAUUCUCAACAACUUCUACAUGGCAAGAAAAAUUUAAAUUGGAGUUUACUCUUUCUAGCCUCAAAAUCCCAUUUAAGCUUCUUGCCGUUCUAGAAGCUUCAAAUUCUCCUAUCAGCUACCAGCCACGGGGUUGGUCAGUGCUUAACAGUAUGGUAUCCUGGGAGUGAUUGUCUUGGGUUCGAGCCCAGGAACGUGUGGGGUGGAUUUUUGGGGGUCUAGGGUGCUUACAGGCUCUCUCCAACCCAUUUAAGUUUUUCUUUAAAAAAGCCACUGAGAAGCUAGUAAUAGACUUAUUUAUCAGCAGUAGGCAGUUAUCCUUGACAUUUCUAAAGCACCGAGUAGUAGUAAUAGGCCUAUUUAUCAGUAGUUGGCAAUUAUCCUUGACAUUUCUGUAUUGCUAUACGAGAACUUUCUUUUCGAGCUAUCCUUCUCUACUGGAAAGUUGAAUCUCUCUCACUUCAGUUUUUGAAUUUUUUCCCCUUCUUACCUUGAUAAUUUAAUAAUUGCAGUCUCUAGAGCUAUGGAACAUGGUUGAAAACCAAAGCAUGACGGUCCAGGCUCACGAAGGUCUAAUUGCAGCAUUAGCACAAUCACCGGCAACGGGAAUGGUGGCCUCUGCAAGCCACGACAAGUCUGUCAAGGUAUGGAAGUAAUCAGUAAAGCUCGAAGGGAGGAAAUUAAGGAAGAAUCAACAUACUCUUUUUUUGUCUUCUAUAUCUAAGUUUGUGGGUUCUCACUAGCUGUAAAAGUAGUUAUGGCUGUUGAUUACAACGAGUGCAUUUGUUGCUGUUGUAUUAUUAUCGUCCUUAGUUUGGAACUAUCUUCGGGUGGUAGUGAAUGUGUAAGAGCUAAAUUGCUUGGCUUUGUAGAAAUGCUGUUUUAAGUUGGGUGAUAAGGGGUGUUAAAUGGAACAGUUUAAGUUGAAGAAAAUAGUGAUUAACCUGUUUAAAUGACAGAAUUAAUGAUCAAAUUGUAAUUUGCCAGAGUUCAACAUCUGAUGAAUGCUGUUUUUAGUCAGUUCAUUUAUGUAGUUGGUAAUGCCAUACGUGAACACAACACCUAACAAAGUGUAAUGUUAUUCAUAGGUUCAAAAAUAAAGUAGGUGUAAUCUUACAUGCACCCAACGUGCGUGAUAUGUUGGGUGUAAGAUUAACACCCAAUUUUUUGGACGUACAAAGAAUAUUUUUUUAUUUCUUUUUUUCACUAAAAGAUAAAGACUUUCAGUGUGGGCAUAUGUGUGUAUGUAUUUGCAGGCGCAUAUAUUUUCUAUCCAAUCUAAAGUGUUAUUAUGGUCCUAAAAAUAAUAAUUUCGUCAUGAAGUUAUAAUUUUGGAAACUUAUCAAUAAUGAGCGAUUCAUGGAAAGAAACAAAAGUUUUAAGGUCUCAAUAAAAAUUUGUAGAAAUUUUGUUUGUGAGCCAAGUCUAUUGUACGCUUGGAAAGCGCCUUCUUUGUUUGAAGGUCUGAAUACAUGCACCGUCCCUUCCACUUCAACAUCGGCAAAGGUCAUUCCGUAGAAAUUCAUUCUCUCUAGAAGUUCUUGUCCAAAACCUUCCUCUAUGGUUCAACUUAUGCUUCCUAGUCUUCCCUGCCUCUUUUAAUUUUUAUUUUUUUUAUUUAGCCAUUCCAUGACUUUGACUCCUCCAUUUUACCAUCUUAAUUUCAUGUUAUCUUCCUAAUUUUUUCAGCCGUAAGCUUAAAUAUCAAAAUUAAUACAAUACAUAUGUUGAGAGAUGAUGAAGUCUCAUUUUUAAAUGCACAUAUUAAAAAUCAAACUUUGAUUCUUUAACAGAAUUAUGGUAACAAUCACUAAACUAAUUUGGCGUUUUUCUCAAACAAGGUAUAGUUAAAAUUAGAUAUUAAACCUUAUUUUAGAAAAAGAAAAAAAUAGAGAAAUUCAAUAUGUGACCAACAAAAAAAAAAAAAAAACAACUCCAAUACAACCAUAUUAUUCUGAAACUGACAUGUGUGGCCCACCUAUUCCCUCCGUGCAAAUCACGCAAAAAUCGAAAUGCAUUUUCCAAAUAAUUUCAUGCAACGACUCCGGUUAAGUAUUCCAUUAAUACUCCCUAGUCUCCCCCCUUACGACCCACCAACCCCUUUUCUACAUUUCUCACCUUAAAACCCCGCUAAACUCUCUCAAAAUAGUAUUUAGAUCCCGUAGCUUACCAUUCGAUUGAGUGGGUAUUCGCUCUCUCUCUCCUCCCUUUUUGCUGUAGCCAUGUCCGAGGUCAUCUCCGAAGCGUGGACCGCUUAUCUCAAGCAACUCCAACUCCACCCUCUGAGAACAAAGGUGCCAUUUUUGUCUUCUUUUCCCUGCUAUUUCUUUGUGAUUCGGCCCUUUUUCUUACGAAUCCUUGUGUUUUCCACAAAUUCGCGACAUGUGUUUUUGUUUUUAUUGUUUGUGGGUUUGUUUGUGUAGGCGAUCACUUCUGGGGUUUUGGCUGGUUGCAGCGAUGCGAUUGCUCAGAAGAUCUCAGGGAUCAAGAGGCUCCAAAUUAGAAGGUUGCUUCUGAUCAUGGUAUGCUUUUAUUUCUGUUUUAUUUCUUUUUUUUAUUUUUAUUUUUUUUGUAAUCUUUUGUCAACAUGGUAUGAAUUUUCUUUUAAUCUCUGGUAUUAGGGGAAAGGUGUUGACUUUACUGGUGAUAUUGAUUUACUUGAUCAAAAGCUAAUUAAAUUCAGUGCCUCCUGAUUGUUUUGUGAGAGCCAUGUCUAGGUUUUUGGUUUACUAGUGUUUGAUGGUUUGACUCCAAAAGAAAUCGUAGUUUUGAAGCAACUUUGAUAUUAGUGAUUUAGAUUGGAUAUGCCCAAAGUAUCAAUUUUGGGCUUCCCCUUCGGGAAAAAUUUCGAAAGGCUUGGACUUCUUAUUCGCAAAAAUCCUUCCCUGGGGAGUCUAUUUUAGGAAACUAAUGACACUGGAAUGAACUAUUGAAUGAUUGGGAACUUCGUGAACUCGAUUUUGACUUUGACUUCCUAAGCGUGACGAAUGCUUCUCUAUUUACCUUCUUUUAAUCUGAUAAGGCUGAGGUCUCAUCCUCCUCUUCACCCUCCUUUUUCCCAAAAAUCUGAAAUUGAAUUAGUUUAAGAACAAGGACUCUGGUGCGUCCGACGCUAAUAUUCUGGACAAUGUCAUGGGAUAAAGAAGCAUGUAGCAGUUCGCCUAUUACACUGGAGUUGUUCUUUGUUUAAGAAAAAAGAAGCAAAACAUCAGGGACGGGGACAAAUGAAGAACAGAGGAAAAGAGAGGAAAUUUAAGGAUUGUAAUAAGCUGUUAUCAUUUUUGUUUUCGCAAUAUUGUUUGUUUCCUCGUAGUCAUCGCUUUUCCUUUUAAAAGUUGAUAUUCGAUAUACGGUCUCAAUGGGCAAAUAGCUAAUCAGCCUUUUCACUGACCAGUUAAGUUUAAUUUUUUUUUAAAAAAAGAAAACUUUUCAUUAUAAGUGCAAUAUUGUUCAUCAUGGCUUAUGUAAAAAUUUGUUUAAUUUGGAUAAUUCUGUGCAGCUUUAUGGCUUUGCUUACUCGGGGCCAUUUGGUCACUUUCUGCACAAGCUUAUGGAGAUUAUCUUCAAGGGCAAGAAGGGGAAAGAAACCGUGGCCAAAAAGGUGAGUUGCUGAUGGUGCUUAUAACCUGUUCAAAUGCCUACUCUGAAAUGAAAUUGCAAUUGGUAUCCUAAUACAUCCAUUCUUCUUUAUUUGCAUUCGACCCUUUGGUUGUGGCAAUUUGGGUCUUUUUCAGGUCUUGUUGGAACAGUUGACUACUUCACCGUGGAACAACAUGUUCUUUAUGAUGUACUAUGGGUUGGUAGUUGAGGGUAUGAUCUAGAAUGAAUUACAUCAUUCAUAUAAACUCUACUUUGGUUCUAAUAGAAAUCCUUGUAAGAAGGGUCACUAACUGCAACCAGCAACUCUGUCGUUUUAUGUCCAUCUCAUGUCGCUUUUUACCAAGUAAUGUUUAUUAAUUUUUCCUUAUCAAAUAUACACCAUAAUGAUCUAUUAAUAGUAAAAUCGCAGGCAGGCCUUUUAGUUCAGUGAAGAGCAAGGUCAAGAAGGAUUACCCAUCUGUCCAAUUGACUGCUUGGAAGGUGAUUUUUCAUGCAUUUUCUGGGCUAUACUUGUUUAGUACCCCAAUUCUUUUUUCUUUUUUUUUUUUUGUCAGUAUCAUUUUCUGAUCUAGCAUGCCGAAUUAACACUACAUAUUCAUACCGUGUAACUGGAUUUGCAGUUUUGGCCACUUGUUUCUUGGGUGAACUAUCAAUAUAUGCCUCUCCAACUCCGAGUUCUUUUCCACAGCUUUGUUGCUUCGUGCUGGUUAGGAUUUCGCAUCCUUUUUAACUUGUAUAUGAAUAUGGAGUUUUAGUUAUAUGAUUCUGUUAAAGAAAUUGGAUUUCCGUAUGUUUGUGACUUUAGUAUGACACGAUAUUGCGAGAGAUUUAAGUGCACUCUUAUAAAUGCUGACUAUUGUUUUGUAUUCUGUUUGAAUUACAGGGCUGUGUUUUUGAACCUAAAAGCGCGAUCAAUUACUGUUAAGAAGGCUUAAUUUGAAGCUAGAAACCAUGAUAGGUUGGCUGCUACAUAGCCUCUUCUCUUUCCAAGCUUCGGAGGGUCCUUAAUAGAUUAUUCAUCAAAUUAAUAGUUUGUUGCCACAUCCCUGUGGACACAAUAUGAUGAGACAUCAUUACUUUGUAUGAUUUUAUAUUUGAAUAGAAGUGUUUACUGGCUUGUUCUGCCGCAACGUGAUCCUGGUUCCAUAUCAAUGAUAGUCUCUUAACAUGUUGCAUUUUGUUCCGUUUCUUCUUUUAUUUCUGGACUGUUCAUCUUUUUCACGGGCUAUAAUGAUUGAGAUCUUCGUCUCUCUGCAUGAACAUGGAUUUGGUUGAGAAUACGAAAGAGAAGAUUACGGUUUUUAUGAGAUUGGAAGUCGAGCUAACUCGAGGGGGUAUCUGAAUUCAUGAUUUACUGUUGAGGAGUUCUCUUCAUUUUGCCCUUUUAGCAAGUAUAAUUGUGAGAAUAGGUGCACAUAAGCCGGUCGGAUGUAUCAUAUGCAUAUUGAUUGGGUUCAGAAUAAGAAUGAAUCUGAUUCUGAUGUGUCACUAAUAACCAUCCCCGCAAACAGAAUCGCAUUUGCAAUGGAUAUAAAGCAUAUCUACACAAGGAUCUCGGUAAAUCCACUAAGAUUUUCUCUCAAAUCUACAUUUGACCUACAAACUGCAUAGAAAAAGUAAAGCAAAUGCUGUUUAACUUAUCAAGCACCAAGGGCUCUCCUCAAGACCUUCAAGCCCUUCAUGGUUACUUUUUAAUCAUCACAGCAGUUCUUGCUUCACUUACGUAUUCAGGUUUGAUACAACACACGUAAUGUUAGAACUAAAGAGCAAGCUAUGUGAAAAAUCAGAGAGUAAAGUUCUUAAGUGAAAACUCUAAUCCAUAAAUUUCACUCACCUUCCUUUCUCCUCCCUCUAAAUCUAUUACCAUUCCUCUCAAAUCGAGCUAAUUCUUCGAAGGUUCAAAUAACGAGCAUUAAUCGUAAUUUCAUUCGUUGUGUUUACUCUUUCUCUCUGCGUCUGUAUGUUUGUGCGUACGUGUGCAAUGUUUUCAGAAGCUGUACGUAGCAUUUAUAUUUAAGCUUUUCGAUCCAAAUGAUCAUUUUUAUGUGCUCAAAAGCCAAUUUUGUAGUUCACUUGUAUUCAUUCGUUUCGGAUGGAACAAAAGUUAAUAAGUAGAGAGAGAAUUUCGACGUAGUCACGAAUCAACAUCUUAGUUGUCUUAUUUGACAUGGCUUUUGAAACAACCUCUUGUGAAUUCGAAGAAGUGACAAUUGCGUGUUUCAGAAUGAAAUGCUAGAGGUGACAGACACUAGCUACUGAGGCAAAUUGAAAUGAGCUUAAAGCUAUAAUAAUUUCAAAGAGACUUUUAUUUGAAAGGCUAAUGUUAAAUUUUUGAAAAAGUUUGGUACAAACAGUAUACUGUAGCUCUUGUCAGGCCAACCAGAUCGAACCCAAGUUUUCUUUUUCUUUUUCUUUUUUUUUUUUUUGAGAAAAUAUAGCAUGCUACCGCUUCAUUCAACUAGGGAGUGAACUUAGCUACAGAUUGAGACAUUUAGGGCCUCGAGAGGAAAGAAAGAGGAAAAGAAAAAAGACAAACUCAAGGUACAAGAGAAAAACAAAAGAAAGACAAAAGAGAAAAGAAAACCAAAAAGAAAAGAAAAACAUCACAUAUCAACUAUAUGAACGAUUCCACGAGUUUCUAAGCACUCUGAUCUCCAAAAACAGACUCCCCAGCACCCGUCUUGAUUGCUAAAAAAUUCUUUUGUUGCGCUCCAACCAUAAUACCCACCACGUUGCAACGAUGGUCAACAUUUCUAUAUCCCCUGUGCGCCCUUUUUGGCACUACUUUUUUUCCAAAUCUCCUUCGCGAAAGGGCGAUUGUUAAAGAUUAGUUUAUUAGGUAGCAAACCUUUCAGUAAAGAUGUGGUGUAGGCGUAGUCAGAGAAGAGAUGAUCCGCAGUCUCCUUCUCAUCUAAACAUAAAACACAAUUUUCAUCUCCAUUCUAACCCCUUUUGAGAAGGUUAUUCAUAGUAAGCACCUUGUUUUUUAGCACAAGCCAAACGAAGAUCUUGACUUCAAGAGGGAAUCUAAUCUUCCAAAGACGUGCGGAACUGUCGACUCUACUCCACCGUCCGUAAGGAAUUUAUAUACCGAGUUGACCGAGAAUGUUUCGGAAUGUGUCCACCUCCAUCUUAUUUCGACCUGUGAACUACUUGGAGAAAUCGUAACAAGCAAUUCCUUGAAGUUUGAUAGUUGGACGCUGUCUGUCGGGGUCGAAGGGGUGAAUCCUGACAAAAUCUUAUGCCACUUCCACCCAUUUCUCCCCCAACACUCCUUCACCCAAGUUGCAAUCAGAUUGGGCUGGUUAGUAAAAUGGCCGCCCCCGCCCCCCCUAUGAUGUUUAAGAAUUGGUUAUUCCAAAUAUUUUAAUAUUUUAUAUUCUACGCUUGUCACUAUUGUUCUCCAUUUUGCCACUAAAAUGUAGCAAUUAUAAUGAAAGAGCAAGGUCACAAAUUAAAAUCGUGUUCUCAUUACUUGUGCAUUUUAUUGUGCUUUGAUAUGUACUUUUUUUACUUCUUUUCUAAACAUGUCUAUUGACCCACACCGUCAACACCCCACCCAAAAGUUCCAAACUCAGAAAAACCUCAAUUUCUCUGAACAAUAUGGUACUGCAGUAAUUUAUAUAUUAAUGAACUAGCUAAAAGGAGAAAUAGUUAAUUGGAUUAAACAAAAAGUAGAAACAAUUUUAUCAUCAUAUUUUUACAUGCUCUAUUGGAUGACUAAUCUUUCUGAGUUCAGUUACUAUACUCUUAUGAAUAUAAAUUCUUUUGUACUCAAAAGUUUUCGACCAUUAAAUUUAUUUUUUUUUUUGACUAUUUUCAUUCGUCAGAUCAUACUAUUCAACAACCCCUGCUCAACUCUUGAACAACACUAUCAUCUUAACGGCACAUUUCUUCAUUCAAUGGCUAAAAACUUAUGAGUGCAAAAAUAUCUACACUCAUAAGUGUAUAAUAGUCAUAAUCUCUCUAUAGCUCCAAACAUAUCCGACCUAUAUCUUAUCAACAUGUACAACAGAGAGAGAGAGAGAGAGAGAGAGAGAAUAAAGAAAAUGAAAUAGCCAGUAAUUUUGAAGGUGCAUGCACAAAAGAGGAUCUUAGUAUAUGAAACAAGAUGAAUUAAAAAAAUGGCAUCUCAAAAAAUAAUUUGUGCAUAACAAAAUAUAGAAUGGGAGAGAGCAAUAAAGGAAAUAAAUUACUGUGCAAAUCAAGCAUUAUAAAAUAGAAUCUCACCAUAUCCAACAAGAUUUGCUCCGACAUCUAUCUAUCUAUAUAAAUAAGGCAUAAAAAUUUCCUUGAGAGCAAAACAAUCCUUCCCCAUUUUUACGAGUCAAAAUCAACAAUGGCUCUCCUCAACACCAUCAAGCCUCUCAUUUUAACCCUUCUCAUUGUCACAGUUCUCACUUCAUCUCAAAAUGGUAUGUGAUCCACUCUCUUUUACUCGAGAAAAGCAUGCGUAGCUAAUCUGAAUUACGACCUAUUUUAACAUUAACUAUUCCUUUUUUGUUUGGGGUAAGAAAAAUUAAAGUUUACCAUCUAAUCAUACAAUUUGUUUAAUUUAUAGUUGAUUUGAUGGCCAUACACCGUUUGGAUUAGUCUAAUUUUAAAAUUAGUACUCUUGGUUUUUUUUUUUUUUUAUUUUUUUAUUUUUUCAGAUGUUUACGUGGAGGGCUCCAACCAUGCCUAUUGCUCCGAGUUCCAAAAUUGUACGACUCAAAAGUGCACCGAUCAUUGUCACGACAUUGGCAUUUAUUCGGACGGAAUUUGCAACUUUGUUGGGGGAAAUGAAAUUGAUUGCUGUUGCCCACUGCCAUGACCACAACAGUUUUUAGGAGACAAUGACAUGCAUUGUGGCCCAUCAUCUACGAAUUAUUAUUGCUUUGGAAAUUCAAUGGGGCCUUUUUACAAUAAUUUAAAAGCUCAUUUUGCUUAUUGUUGUACUAAUUAAUAAAUAAGAGAUAAAUCUCUCAUUUGAUAAUAAAGUUGCUAAAUUUUGCUUCUUCUCUCUCUCUCUCUCUUAUCUAAAUCUCGAUUGCAUGAAUAAUUUUAUGUCAGUUCCAAAAGAAUACGUGAAAGUAUUAUAUAUGCGUAACUACUUGGUUAUGAUCAGAUCGGAGUAUUUUGCAAAGUUUUGAGUAAUUAUUGUUAUGGUUAAUUAGACACUUAUUUUUAUGUUGUUUUCCUUUUACCAGCAGUUUAUAAUAUUUUGGAUUGACAUUGAAUUGCAUUAUUGUAUAGCUUUUCUUAAAUUCAGUUUUUUUUCUUUUUUAUUGCAAAAACUUUAUUUCUAGUAUAUAUGUAGAGUAUGCUAAUUGGAAACAUCAACCUGGUUGAUUUUCGACAGAUUUUUUUUUUUUUGAGAGAUAGGUAGCACGCUACCCGUUUCAUUUAUUUCAUUUAGAAAUAACUUAGUUGGAAAUGUGAAUCAACUAGAAUUCGAAUUUGGGAUCUCGGAUAUCAACCAUCAAAUUCUUUGCCAUUUGUUUUAGGGACGGUCGGUGAUUUUCGACCGAUAUUAAUUGCAUUGUUCGGGCUAUAUAUAUACGAACUUAGGCCCCUUGAAAAUUUGAAACAUUGCUUUCACUACUUCGUGUUUCAGUAAGACAAUAAGGUACUUCCUAAGUUGAUAGGAGCAGAAAUAGCAAAAGAGUAAUUACUAGUACUAAGUCAUCCAGUUUUCCUCGUUACUUUACAAUUGUAUUCUUCUUCUUCUUCUUCUUUUUUUUUGAAACAGAGCCCUAAUACUAAGAAUUUCAGUAGUAAAUGAUGCAGUCAAUUUAGCGUUAAAGUUUAUGAAAAAACACGACUCAACCAAGCUGAGUCGAAAAUUCGGCCGAGUUCGGUAAUUUUUAUAAUCGGCGUGAAAAUUAUUUAAAUAUUUACGGUAGUUCUUACGAUCGGCAUGAGAAAUUUUUAAACAGUCAUAAGCUCUGUUUGCUUUGACAUAACGUCCUUGUCAGGCCUCAUUAUAUAUAUGGGCCAAAAUUGUUAGUGAUGUGAGAUCCAUUUCAUACUUUUGACUGAUAAACACUUUUAAUAUCAAAUAUACAAUCGAACCUACUAAUACUAAUAUCUUGUUAGAUCUAAAUCACUAGCAUAAAAUGUUUAAACCUAAUUAUUAAUGUUAGAAUUCUAAGUCUUCAUAUAGCCUCGGUACUCUUUUUUUUUUUGUGGGAUUAUUGGAGACGUCGUAUAUCUUAAUUAUUCUUUUUCAAAAAAAAAAUGUAUUUUUUAUAAUAUAGUGUGCUUCUUACCCAUUUGAAAGAAAAAGGAAUGAAAUGAAUUAAUUAAAAAUAAAUCUAAAACAAAAAGAAAAGAGGAAUAAACUUUUUUUUUCCUCUAAUUUCACCCCCCCAAUUACAGAUGUCAAAUCCUUUUCAAUACUCGCAAGUGAGUAAAGCCCCAAAAUGUUACAAAAUUAAGAACAGUAAAGGCAAGUGAAUAAAUGGCUACUAAUUAAGGUCGCAUUUAGUAUCAUAUUUAUUUUUUAUUUUUUAAAAUAAAUUUUUGCAUAUCACAAGGUGUAGUAGUGAACAAUGAAUUAUCUGUAAUUUUUUUAUUCAAAAUAUUUACUCGACAAAAAUAUUCAAUUGUUUUGUCUAUUUUUUUUAAAAAAUAAGCUAUCAUCUAUCACUUGAUUGGAUACAUUAUAAAUUAACUAAUCAUAAAAACAAAAGAAAAAUCUUUCUUUCAAUAUACUAAAUUAUAUAAAACUUCUGUCGGAAAAAAAAAAAUGACAAUUGCACCAAACAGAACUUAGCAUAUCUUUUUGAGCAACAUACAACAGAGAUUUUGGCAUUAGAAGCACCGAACAAAAUAAUUAACGAAAGGCAAAUGUUAACAAUUUUAAAAUUUAAAAUUUCAAACCAAAAUCUAAAUUCACUUUUCCAUUAACGUAGGCGUCCCACCAGUUAUUAUUAUUAUUAUUAGUAUUUUUUUUUUUUCUGAAUGUGAGACACUGGAUGAUUCGCAGUACUCUAUUGACUCACAGGUAAUGGUAAUAAUUUCUCUUUUUAAAUAUUUUUGAUUCACAAUAUAUUCGAGUGUGUACUAACUAACUAAUUAUAGCAUAUACAACUCAUAUAGCAUGAAAGAAUCUCACCAUAUAUUCAGUUAUUAAUAUAAAGAUUUUGCCAUUAAAUUUUGUUUUUCUUUUUUGUACCCUGUAAAAGAUGUGCGACAAGGUUACAACAAGCACGAGCACAUUUUUUUAUAAAAGACAUGCCAACAUUAAUCUCCAACUCAUCAUCUUGAUGACGAACAGUUAAGCACUUUUGCUGAAUAAACCGGGUGUAUGGACCGCACAUGUCGCCGCCAGCCGGGCCCGGCUCAUGCUCGUGCCGUGCGUGUGUUUAAACGAGAGUAUAACUCUUAUUUUCUCCCAAAAAACUAGCUUGAGAACAAAAUAAUAUAUAAAUACCAGCAACAGUCUUUUAGUUUUCAAUGUGGGACUAAAUCUCACAUAUGAAAAUUUUAGUUGAGCUUCCAGGUAAGGCUCAUUAAGUAUUGGACUGCCCAAAAAACCUAACAAAUUUUAAAUUACUAAAAAUUUAAUAAAAUUCAAUAAUUUUCGCUUCUAGUAGAUCAGAAGCACUUUAGAAGGCCAACAUUAAUGUUAAACAUUUUGAUGCUCUAUGUGUCACUUUAAGUAGAAUUUUAACUUUUUGUAGUAUUUUGCUCUGUAAUUAAUUUACUCAUGCAUGGUACAAAUAAUUGACUCAUCAGCAACUACUGGAGUGUUAUUCGAAUGUUAGUACGUUAUUAUGAUCUACUAUGGUUUUUCUGUUUUUUUUUUUUACUAGCAAAGCUAUUGCCCUCUAGUGACAAAAAAAAACUUCUCACUCAAGUACAACAGUAUUUAUUGAAAAUAAACAAAAAGGAGAUUUACUAUACGGAUGAAACGUAAUCACUUUUGUUUUUAUUAUUUCGAAAUUUGAAUCGAUGAACUGAUCGACAACAAUAACUUCUAUCGAUCUUUGUAAGACGCGUCUCAUAAAAAAAUAAAAUUUUCCGUACCCACAUGCUAAAAAUAGGAAACCAUGCUUGUGGGCCAUAGGACUUAGUAUGUCACACGAGAAUUAUAUAUAUAUAUAUAUAUAUAUAUAUAUAUAUAUAUAUAUAUAUAUAAAGGGAAAAUUUUGUCGUACUAAAACAGAAAUAAGAAUAGAUCAAAUACCUGCAAAGAACUUUUCAAUAGAGGAACUCAUCAUCAUAACAAUUCUUCUUGUCCAAUACUUCUCUACCAUUCAGCUAUAUAUAUAUGUAAAAAACAAAGCAAAUAUUAAGAGAAAAAUGGAAAAGAGUAAUUANAGCCUAUAUAUAUAUAUAUAUAUAUAUAUAUAUAUAUAUAUAUAUUGUAUGUCUCAUAUGUGAAAAUGCUUGGGUCCUGCUCUGACAUUUAAAGGUGGCAUUGAAUCCUCAUUUGAAUAUGCACCGACUUUUUUGAUCGGCAAUGCAUCAACGGUCGUGAUUCGCUGGACAUAUUUGUGCGUCUGUGCUGUGUAUUGAUCUCACCGUUUAUGGAAAAGAAGCAGUUAAUUGCCAUGAAAAUGUGCUCACGUGAAAGGGUGAAUAUGUCUAAUCGAGCUAGUUGGAAGUUUCCUUCGGUAGGAAUGUUGAGUACUUUUCUUUGCUACCCCGAUUUAUAAUUUUUUUAUAUUUGUAGUUGUUUUAUGGCGAUGUAAAACACUUUACUCCGUUUGCAGUUACUACUUACGAUUUAAAAAAAAAAAAAUUAUUUCAUGAGUUAGAAUGAUAAUUACAUCAGUUAGAAAAUCAUCAUGUCAAUGCAUGUAUAAAAUUGUAAAAUUUAUACAUAUACAAACUGAUAAAUUUAGGUUUCGUUUGGAACUGCGGGGAGAUUGCGUUACGUGCGGUGAGAAAGUACGUUGGAAAAAUACCCUCUUUGUUUUUGUACGUAGUAUUGCGUUUUGCAAAUCGCGAUGAAUCGAUUACGAUAUAUUUUCUCCGGUCUCAUUAAAGAAUGCAGAAGCAUAUCCCUAUGUGCUUUUACCCCAGCUCUAUAUUAUCUAAUAGCGUUAGAUGGAUCUCAAUACCAAAGUAAGUCUUUAUUAUGUAAAUAUAGAUUUAGCAAUCUAUCUAUAUGAAUUGAGUAAACUUUGACCGAUUCUCAAAUUCAGGUUCUUGGAUUAAGAGUUUGGAUUGAAAUCUCAAUUUGGCAAUUGCCAAUGAAAUUGCUCUCGCGGCCCAUAAAGAAUAAGCCCGAUAACAAAUUAGGAGGUCAAUAGAAAAUUCUACUAUAAGAUGAGAUCCACAGUCCAAACAGAUUAAGACUCAACACAUGCUCGCAUUAGUCACUAAGAAUUAAUGCGACAUGCAUAUAUACACACUAAAAUUCGUCAACACACACCAACCUUUUAAAACUUCUAAUAUUUAUUAGCAUAUAUAGAGUUUUUAUGAUCAUCUUUUUGCCUUUUUUUUUUUUUUUUUUUUUUUUUUGGGUCUUGCGAUCGAACUGUGGAUUAAUUUCAGUGUGCGGUGUAACAGUGGGCAGCUGCAUUUGACAGCGCACGCGGGUGUUAUUUAAUUUGGCAGUUGCACCACUACACUUACAUUAUUUGAGCGAUUUCACCUCCUUCAAUCAAUGCUUUUUAGCUUCGUUUCCACUCGGAAAAUAGAAAUUGAGAUUAAUUUCUACUUUUCCACCGUGCACAUGGUGGUCAGCGUGUAUGCAACUACCACUCUACACUUUCCUUCUUCUUUUCCCUCUUUAGCUUCAAUAUAUAAUAAUAUAAUAUAAUUUUGCUCUUAAAUGUCUAAAGGGCGCAGCAGUGCUACACGUAGCACGGCUACAAGAAAUUCACCCACUGAGUCCCCUUCACUUGUUAGUAGUAAAUUUUUUUUUUUUUUUCAAAAAACAAAAUUUUCAAUAAAAAUGUAAACAAGUACUAUAUACGUAAAAGAACUUUCGGCAUCUCGUGUGGUACUGCAUGUAGUAUAUAUAUGGCAUAGGAUUUUUUUUUUUUUGAAAAAAAAUAAUAAAAAGAUGAAUUAAGUUACGAGGGUGAGAUAAUAGAUAUCGGUUGAAACGAAAUGAAAGAAAAAAAAUAUAUUAAAAUCAAGGAUUAAGGACGAGGAAUCAACCACAUCUUCGGACGAGGAAUCAAACCAUCAAUUUUGAGAAAAAAAAAAUGAAGCAAAACCAUCUGUAGAAAUAGCCGCAUUUAAUUUGCAGAAUCCCUCCCAAAAAAUAAAAUAAAAUCAGAAAGGCAUACAUGAUCAAUCACAAAGAAUUAAUUUGACAUGAUUCAUGAAGCUAAGAAUAAAAUUCGAUCACCAAAUUGCAUGACUUGUAAGAUGUUAUUAAACUUAAUAUCUAUUUGUAAGCUUUUUAUAAGGGAAACUUCAAAUACUAUUCACGUGGUUUCACAUUUUUUCACUUUAAUUAGUACUCUGUGAUUUAAAGUGUACCAAUUUAGUAUUUUACAAUUUUAUUUUUCUCUUUUCGUCAAUCACUUUGUUAAAUUUUUAUUAAAUAAUAUACAAAAAAAAACUUUAGAUAUAUACUCCACCUAUAGUUUAUCGAAAAUUCACUUUAGUACAUUUUAGUUUUAACUUUGCCAUUGAUUUAACGAAAAAAAUUAGCAGAGGAGAUGAUAAAAAGAAAAAAAAUAAAAUUACAGCGUACGAAAGUGAUACACUUUAAAUCACAUGAUACUAAAAGGAGGAGUAUAUAAAUUAUAGAGUGGUGGUAUUUGAAGUUUUUCUUUUUUAUAAUAAUGUUUCUUAAUUUCCUAUUUAACGAAAAAAAUUAGCAGAGGAGAUGAUAAAAAGAAAAAAAAUAAAAUUACAGCGUACGAAAGUGAUACACUUUAAAUCACAUGAUACUAAAAGGAGGAAGUAUGAAAUUAUAGAGUGGUGGUAUUUGAAGUUUUUCUUUUUUAUAAUAAUGUUUCUUAAUUUCCUAAUUAGGGAAGUUAAUUAUAAUCAAGCAUUAGGUUGGCUCUUCAAUAAAUAGGGGCAAUAAUUAUUGAACUUGGCUUAACUGUUGCGAUGAUCCUCCCAUUUCAUUGCAUGUGAUUAAUAUGUACAACCUGGCACAUAUUACGUACGUACUACAUAUCUUUAGGUACACAUAUCUCUCUGGUUAAGCUGCAUAGCUACAACGAUGCAUUAAAUUGAUUGCUCCUGAUGAGUAUUAAAGGAUCUUCUCAGUGUGGCUCGAAUUCCUUUGUUGGUUCAACCCCAUUGGAUACUUCUAUUGUUCAAAGAAGGAAUAAAAUCGAGAAGGAUCGAGAAUAGUAAUGCCAGUGACCACAAUUAAUUCUUCCAACUAAUAUAUAUUAAUUAACUCGUAAAAUAAAACUGUGCUGAGACCCCAUCUGAAUUAUUUUUUUACAUAGCCUAUUAGGUUAAAAAUUUUGUUAAACUUAAAAACUCUAUUUAUUAUUAAUUAGUUGUAAAUGAUGCUAAAAAGUGACUAAAGUUGCUGAUCAAUUAGAUGAAAUGAUUAACAAUAAAUUUGAUAAUAUUAAUUCAUUGAACUAAUUAAACUUAUUCAUUUUUUUUAAAAAAAAAGGGAAGAAAUUUGAGCAGUUCAUUUGAAAUCGAUCGAUCGGCUUAGCACUGAUGAGGAGUUUCUGUAACGAUUUUUUUUUAUCAAUUUCUAACCUAAAAUAGCAGGUAUAUAUAUAUAUAUAUAUAUAUAUAUAUAUAUAUAUAUAUAAGGGGAAAAAGGGAAAAGAAAAUACAUAGAUAUUUCAGAAAUUUUUAUUUUCCAUUACAUAUAUCGUAAAUCCACAUAAGUGCGUCUACAAUAAUCCCCAGUUGGCUAGCUCGGCCCCACAUACAAUUGCACAGUGGCCAACCAACCAGAAUUUCAUUUAAAUCCCCCCCGCAAAAAAAAGAAAAGAAAAAAAAGCUAAGAGAUCAAAUUGCAGCAUUAAAUAUUGAUGCACGGCCUAUACACCGACCAAUUACAGCUUAAUUCCAAAUCAAUUAUCGAGACCAAAAUAAAAAAAAAACUUCUCCUCCUCCUCCUCCUCCUCCUUCUAAUAACAAUAAUAAUAAUAAUAAUAAUAAUAAUAACAACAACAAUUAAUUAGUAAUACUCGAAAACUAUUAUUCUAAUUAUUAUUAUUAUCAUCAUCAUCAUCAUCAUUAUUAUUCUCCCGUGGGUAUAUAUGCAUGUAUAUAUAUAUAUAUAUAUAUAUAUAUAAAUAUAUACAUAUAGCAUACAUAUAUUUAUACGUAAAAUUAAGGCAUGCAGGUAAAUAAAUAUAGAAAUAUAUAUAAAAGGGAAGGGAAGGAAAGGAAGGAAUAAUUAAUCAUAAUUAAUCAUAAUAAUAUAAUAAUAUAAUAAUAAAUGACUUACUUACUCGUCGUUGACCCAUCCGUACUUCUCCAUGAAGGGGUUGACGAGCGUCUGGGGCGGGUAGUGGUGGACGCAGUCGGCCCAGACGGCGGCGUCCCCGGAGAGGUCGGCCUGGACCUCCCAGAGCGCGCUGUUGCACUUGAAGCCGGCGCCGAAGCUGAUCAUGAGCACGCGGUCCCUGCGCUUGAGGCGGCGCUUGGCCUCCAUGUAGCCCAGCACGUACCAGAGGCUGCUGGCCGACGUGUUCCCCCACCGGUGCAGCGUCAUCCGCGCCGGCUCCAGGUCGAACUUGCUCAGCCCCAGGCUGCGCCCCACGGCCUCGAUCACCGCCGCCCCGCCCGUGUGCAGGCAGAAGUGCUCCACCCCGCUCCGGAAGUCGAUGCGCGCCGCCUCGCCCUUGCGGGGUGGGGCCGCCGCCGCCGCCGCCAGCUUCUGCCGCGCCAGGCGGACCGCGUAGCGCAGCAGCUCCCGCACGGGCAGGAUCUGCGGGGCCAGCACGCGGAGGUUCUCCACGAAGGCGCGCACGGCGGCCUUGGGCAGGUCCUUGCUCAGGUGGAAGCCGACGAGCCCCGCGUCGUCCUCGCGCUGCACCGCGCAGCCGUAGGCCUCGUCGCCGGCGCCGAUGUGGGUGCGCACCAGGCGCCGCAGCCGCAGCUUGGCGCGGCCGCGCAGCGCCGGGUCGUUGGUGAGCAGCACCGCGCAGCCGCCGGAGCGGAAGAGGCAGUUGCCGAGCAUCAUGGACUUGUCGCUGCCCGAGUACCAGUUGGGGCUGAUCGACUCCGACGUCACCACCGCCGCCAGCACCGGCUUUCCGGUGGUCGACGCCCGGAAGACGUUGUUGACGAGGUCGACGGCGACGAGGCUGGCGCUGCAGCCCAUCCCGGAGAGGUUGAAGACGCGGACGUCCUCGCGCAUGUUGAAGCGGUUGACGAGGCGGGAGGCGAGGGAGGGGGCGGGCGAGAACAUGGAGACGUUGACCGCCAGCACGUCGAUGUCGGCGGGGCGGAAGCCGGUCUUGCGGAAGAGCGCGUCGAGGGUGGGGAAGAGGCAGUCGUCCAUCUCCUGCAUGGCGUCGGCGUGCGUGGGGGACUCCUCGCGGCCCUCCAGGAUGUUGCGGGGGCCGUACGUCUCCUCGCCGAUGCCGGAGUUGACGAUGACCUUCAGGAGGAACUUGUACUCGGGGAAGCCCAGCCGGGGGUUCCGCGCGAUGAUCUGCCCGGCGAAGUCCGUCGAGAUCUUGCGGUCGUCCGCCGGCUUGAAGCACACGUAGUCCAGCAGGUAGCAGUUCCGCAGGCGCCGCCGGCCCACGCAUUUCCAGACCAGGGAGAAGGAGUAGAGGAGGAGGACGACGAGGCCCACGGAUACCACAAGUACAGCCAUAUUAAUUAAUUAAUUAAUUAAUUAAUUAAUCGUAUGUAUAUAUAUAUAUAUAUAUAUUUGUAAUCGAUCGAUCAGUGAUGGAUAUAUAUAUAUAUAUAUAUAUAUACACACUCACACACACACUAGCUAUUUAUAUAUAGUAGCUAGCAGUGGCGACUACAAUGGUGAUCGAGAGCUAGCUAGAGAGCUAGCUAGAGAGCUGCUUCUUCUGCUUCUACUGCUAGCACCACUUCUGUGGGAUGGUAUUAAUUUUGGGAUCAAAGGUGGCUGAAUUAAUUUUGAGAAAGUGGGGGAGGGGGCUUGAUUGGGAAGCAGAAGCUGAAGCUGAGAGAGACUAUUUGAAGGGAAGAGGGGGAGGGGAGGGAAAGAGAGAGAGAUGGAGAGAGUGUGUGUGGGGUUGUGAGUUAAAUGCAGUCUUUGGAUAGCUUCCAACUCCCCAACUAAAUUUAAUGGAUCAUGUGGGAGAGAGAGAGAGAGAGAGAGAGAGAGAGAGAGAGAGAGAGAGAGAGAGAGGAGGGAAAUUAUCUCCUGCACCCAGUGCAUAUAUAUAAUUGCAUUCAUGCACUGCAUCUUACCAAAAAAAAAACAAGUUCUAUCAUAUAUAGAGGUGUUAGAAUCACAAUCUAAUUUGCUGGUUAUAGAUGCUUACUAGCUAGGACAAUGAUUUUUUUAUGAAACGAAUAAUCUCAAUUCAUCUAGACGCUGAUUUCUACUAUUAGUAGAUGCUCGGAUUAAAGGUUUUCAGAACAAAUGAGUUUUUAUACCGGUGCAAUACUUCAGAUACUAUAGAUCAAUUUUGUCUAAAGUAAUUUUAACUUUAGCACAGUGAUCAUAUAUAAAAAAGAAAAAAUGGAUGCUGCGCAUGCAUGACACGUAGGGACGCGCGCACCAGGUGCAUGAAAUAUAAUCCAGAGAGUAGAGGGGAUAUGGGUUUUAAAAAGGAAGGGUGGGGUGGGCGUGCAUAUAAUUAAUCUCACGAGAGAGGGCGUUGUUUACUCAUGUUGAAGUCAUGCGAGCUGGAACGAGAGGAAGGUGAGAGCAAGUUGUGGAAACAAAGAGAGUGAGUGAGUGAGUGAGAGAGAGAGAGAGAGAGAGAGAGAGAGAGAGUCCCUUAUCAUAAUGUGAGAGAGAGAGAGAGAGAGUCCCUUAUCAUAAUGUGAUUAAUUAUUGUCCCAUUCCGCUUUGAUGAUGGAUUAUUAUUAUUAUUUUUUUUUUUGACAAUUUUAUUGCAAACUAUGAUGAUGGAUUAAUUGAGCAAAAUGAUGGAAGCAAACACGUAUAUACCCAUACUAACUAGAUAAUUAGUGUGCUAUUAAUGGAAAGUUGAAACAGUUUUUCCAAUGGAAAAUAUUCUAUUACCUACAAAUCCAAGUAUAUAUAUGCAUAGUACGUACGUGCAUUCGUGAAUCAUCUAAAUUCUCCUGAUUGGAUGCAUCUCAGCCGUUGGAUACUUUUGUGCUUAUGAUUUCUAGAUCUGUAGCCUUUAAUGGGGAUAAUAAUAUACAGAGCUCUUUGAACGUACUUAAUGUUUCUUAAAACAUGGACUUACUCGAAGGGACACAAAUACAGUAAUAUAAAAAUUGAUUCAUUGAUCAAAUAUAUAUAAUUAUAGAAGCACAUCAAACAAAUAACUAUUCAGAGUACUGGACUCGUGCCUACUACAGUCUUAGAAGUGUUAUAUGUAUUUAUCAAAGAACUUGUUUCGUUUUCCUGCGUAUUAUUUAGGCAAUUAAACUUUCAUAGCAUUUUUGGUUUAGAUUUAGUACAGUAAUCUACAUUAAGCUUAUUAAUUAUACCAACCACCUGUGUGGUGCAGUGGUUAGGUGCCAAAGUUUCAAUCAAGUGGUUCCAAUAGAAUCCAGCUGUGGGGUUCAUUACUUAUUGAUUAUGUGGGAGCAAUUUUUGUUCUUGAUUGUUCUUAUUUCAAUUUAAUUUAGAAGAAAAAUUUUAUUAAGCAAUUAAAAUUAGUCUAUAAUUAAAUAAUGAAAUGUAGCAAUUGACUCAAGCCAGAAGUCUAAUUACCUCGCAUUUUUAACUAAUUUUUUUUUAAAAAAAUAAACGAAAUAAUAGAACGCUACCAUUCUCUCUAAAAUAAAAAAUAUAUAUAUAUAGGAAUGACUUUUUAUAGUUUUUUUUUUUUAGAAGAGAGAGCAUGCUACCGUUUCAUUCAUCAAAGAAAUGAAUUUAGUUAUAAAAGGUUGAGACAACUAGACCUCUUAGUGAAAAAAAGAGAAAGAAAGAGUUUUUUUUUAAAAAAAAAAAACUAAGGUGACCAGAAGCCCCUUAGUAUUUUAUUUUUAUGCAUAAUAUUAUUACUGACCGUCUCUAGAGCAAGUGGCAAAGGGCUUGAUGGUUGGUAUCCGAGACCCAAGUUCGAAUUCUAGUUGAUUCACAUUUCUUGCUAAGUUUAUUUCUAAAUGAAAUAAACGAAACGGGUAGCGUGCUACCUAUCUCUCAAAAAAAAAAUAUAUAUAUAUUGCAUGUCACGUAUGGAAAUAUAGACCCUUUUUUCAAAAUACAAGUUCAUAGUCUCAUUUAGCUUCCAUUUUCCUCAAGGCAAGUAAUUAAUUAAACAUUUUGAUAAAUGUACACCAAAAUAGAAAGUAGAACUGACAAAAAUCAGAAAAAGGAAAUGGAAACAAAAGUGAAUUAAGAGCAAACAAGCAAAAUUAGCUAGUAGUAAAUUAAAUUUGGUUAGGUAAUUUUCCAUGAGAUGCACCCAACCAUUGGAGGCCACCUCUUGUGCAAUAACUACAUGCCAAGUUGAUAAAACCACACCACAUUUAUGCACACUGAGCACUGGGCAAAUGCUACCAAAAACUAGUGUUGCACAAUCCAAACAAGUACAGGUAAAGAUGAAAAGAGUUAACUCAAAGGCAAGUGGAUCAGAUUCUAGAAGGUAUGUGAAAGUGAAUCUUUUUUUUCUUUUUUUUCUUUUUUUUUAUCUCAGUACCUUUUUGGACGAACAACCAGCCACCACCUCUAUGAACCAUAGUUAGUUAAUUCGUAUAUGGUAAAAAUUUAAUAUAAAUAAAAUGUGAAUAAAAUUUAUAUUAUAAUUUUUAAAUUUGAUGAAAAAUACGGUUUAAAAAUCGGAUUCGUCAAUAAUUCGUAUACCCGAUUUAUAUGAAAAUUUUAUAUUUAUUAUUUAAAAAUUUGGAACAAAGAUUCGUCUGUUAAAUUAAAAUUUUUCUUUAAAUUUAUGUUAUUAAUAUAAAUAAUUAUAAUUCUUAUAAAUAUAAAAAUAAAAUAAUAUAUAAAUUAUAUAUAUAUACACACACACACAAACACAAAGGGAGAGUGAGAGGUUCACCGUAGACCUCUCUCUCUCUCUCUCACACUCACACACACACACACACA